rnacentral:lncRNA from 1 species
CUCCAUCAACGUCAGAGCAUACCUAGACAGCGUUUUCCGUUGGACUAUAGGACAAAGUUCUUGGACUUUGAUUCAAAUUUAUUGUACCAGGUCUUCGAAUUGGAAUCACUUGACUAUCUUUCUGUGUAGAAAACUCAUAGAAGCGCAGAAAACGGUCUUUAACAUAAUAAAGAUAGUCUCCACUUACAGAAAAUGCAGGUCAUUCUCUCUCCAAUUUAAAAACGAUCAUGCCACUAUCAUGACCUGCUGCCAAAAGGUUCAUUUCAAGAUGAGAUGCCAGAAUCCAGAACCGCCAAAAUGAUUACUGGAGACGAAGAAAACGCACGCAGAUAAGAAUGACUUCCGCAUGCAGAUCAAGAAACAUGGGCUUCAAAGGAUUAAAGUUCUGUAUACCCAGCUGCUGGCUCAGCAAGCGCAUUGCAGUGUCAAAAUUGCCAGCUGCUGCUUGCUCCCCAGCAAGAGAUGAUUUCUGAAUCCAUAUCUGGCUUACAGGCAUGCCUGGAGUUGAAAUGACAAACUCAGCAGAGCGGGUAUUAGCAGAAACCUUUGGAGUAUCAACUUCAGGAGGUAGCUCAAGAUCCUCAAGGUCCCAUCCCCCUUCCUCAUCAUUUUCAUCAUUUGUUUCCCCAACUUCCACUGCCCCAACAUCUCCAUUUCGCGCACCUUCACCAUCAACAAUAUCUAAUUCUUUGCCUCAGUCAGCACCAGCAGCCUCUUCAUCUUCCUCCCGUACUCCCCUGCCUAUAUUUUCCACUCCACCCUAAAAAAUGCCUCCAUAAUCCUGGGCAAGAGCCAGUCUCCACCACAUAGGAUGGGUGAGGGGGCAUCAAAAGUGAAGGUACUUUUCCCUGCAGAAAAGAAGGAACAUUGUCUCCCAAUUUAGCUUCUAAUUGUUCAGCAACAUCAUUGAGCCCAUGAACUGUAAAGCUUUGAACUUCCUCAAAAAAAAAAAAACAUCAUUGGGUCCAUGAACUGUAGCUGUCAUAUAAGCAAGGGGAGAAUGUUGGCAUUCUCCAGAAUUUUAAUACGCUCGUGUAUGUCACCCAGAUACAGUCAUACAGGACAUUGCGGAACUGACUCAUUACAUCAUUCUUGAGCCCUGCAAUUUUCAGCAUUUUCGACAACAUGCAGAUAUUCCCCAUCACAAGAUAAAGGAAGGAAAACCUAUCAAAAUUCUUUGUUCUUUGGUAAGCAUAUUCAACAAUGCCAGCAUUGCCUUGACAAAGGGCUUCCACUCCUAACCUAUACCAGUGAUCUUUUUCAUCAAUUGCAUUCUCUAAAGCAACAGUAAUCUGGAUGUUGACACUCUCUAUUGCCAAGUAAAAACGAGUCCUCUCAUCUUUCACAAAAUGGAGAGCAACUUCUGGGAAUCCUUCUGCUGCAGAUAGGGAAUCAUGGCUUGUCCACAGAGCUGUGAAUUCCUGAUGAAGCUGAUGACUUGGUCAUAUUUCUUCUUUAGAAGGGAGAGCUUAAAUACAUAUUCUGUUGCAUCAAUAAUAACUGCCCUGUUCUUCCAAUCCCAAUCCAAGCAAAAUAAGGUAUUUCCAGAAAUUUCCGUGAUGUAUAUUGGGACAUCAAGGGUCUUGAUGAUUCCACUGUCUCCAUUUGGAAGGCAAUACUUGAUGUGGUUCAGGAUUUUAUAUACGAAGACUCCAUUGUCAUCCCAGGCUCCGCUCUUUACAUGGAUUGUCUCAUGAAGAGUGCAUCAAUGGACAAGUUUCUUACUAGCAAUAGAGUGUUUGUUCAGCGAUGCAAUACUCUCCAUGUCAUUUGACCAAACAACAUACUUUAUGAAUGGAGUUUGAAGAUCACCACGAACAAACCUCUGCUAAGGAUAAAGAAUAACCACUCUAUCCUCCGCUCUGCAAAACAAUUGCCUGUCCCAACACAAAAUAUUGCGUCAGCAACAAUAGGUAGGAUGCUCUUCUUUACUAUCUUGUUCUUCAGGUUCUUCACUAACACUUGAUUGUUGCUCUUGUCGCACAGCAAACCUAUUACAAGUCACAAAUACAGCUGACCCUCCAACUCCUCUUUUUGCAUCUUGAAUGGUAUCAUCUCUAGAAAUGCUAUCUUUAGGUAUAGUAUAAAGCUCAUAAGAACUCCAAUCAACAUCAGAGCAUACCAAGACAUCGUUUUCCGCUGCACUAUAUGACAAAGUUCUUGGACUUUGAUUCAAACUGGUAGUACAGGUCUUCGAAUUGGAAUCACUUGACUAUCUUUCUGAGUAGAAAACUCAUAGAAGCGCAGGAAACGGUGUUUAACAUUAUAAAGUAAGUCCCCGUUUACAGAUAAUGCAGGUCGUUCUCUCUCCAAUUUAAAAACAAUCAUGCCACUAUCAUGGCCUGCAGCCAAAAGGUUCAUUUCAGGAUGUGACGCAAGAAUCCAGAACCAGUCAUGCUCCCUAGGAAAUGCCUGAACACAGGUCCGCUUUGUUACAUCCCAUACACGAAUACUCUUAUCGUCCGAAUUAGAUAAAACGAUGUCUUGUUUUGCAUGGAACAUUACACACAACACUUUAUUCAUGUGUCCUCACAAUGUGUCCAUUUCCCAGGCCUUAGCAUCUAAAACCAAAAAGAUUGAUUACUAAAAUUGGUGUUACUGUCAUUCUAUCAAGUUCCAAAUAAUAAAUCAUGCAACAGUAAAGCCAGUAAUAAUGACAUUAAAAACAUGAAAUACAUACCAUUGAAUCGCCAUAGUUUCAACUGACGGACAUCUGCUCCAGAAACAAUUACAGGCAGGCUGGGGUGGAAUGAUGCCCAGUUGACCCCCUGAUCAUGACCUUCCAAGGCAUACUUUACAACAGCAGUAAUCCCACUAAACAAAUCUGUGUUCAUCUGUCUGAGCCUCAGGAUGUCAUCUGCUGGGGAAACAGUCUUUUUCUCAGCGCACAUAUGUCCCAUACACGAACAGUCUGAUCCAAGGACGCCGACUCAACCAAGCCCUCUUUAGGAUGUUAGUUGGCACACCUAACAUAGUGGUUAUGACCAGUCAACACAGAAACACACGCGAGGGAUUACCACUACCAGUUCCGUAUUCUGAUAGUUUGGUCAUCACUAGCACUAACAAUCCAAGGGUACUCAUAGUUAAAUUGAACAGUACAGAUGUAAUCAAGGUGUCCAAGAAGAGUAAACAAACACCGAUGCAUCAUAUAAUUCCAGAGUCUGAUCUUGUAAUCAUUUCCUGCAAUAUGUAUGAUUUUCCAGUAAAACACAAACAACUAUCUCUAUAAUGUCCAAAUAAUUUCAAGCAUGGGCACAAUGUGAAAACCGACAGUAAACCACAUUUUCUAAAAUAUUUAAAUUAGAGGGAAUUUUAAUUAAAAUACAUCCAGAGACAAACAAAGGUUGAGAUUUGUGAAAAUGUAAACCACGAACUGGACCAUUGUGCUCGUCAAUAAGAGAUCCCAUUCUAUAAUCCCACAAUGGAUCACUCCGCUGUGAAGACUUGCAAGAAUCCAUGGCCUCUUAGGAUGAAAGCUCAAGCCUCUCACUCGAUUACUCUUGGUUUCGAAUUUCGUCAGCAUGGUUACUAAAAUCAAAUCUCAGAAACCCUAAUCACUAACAUGUUCUCUUAGCAAAGAUCACAAGCCUCUAGUGGACUGGGAAACGUAUGCCUUGCAUAUUCGUUUCUUUUUACCAGUACAGUCACUACCAAUGAAUAGCACCACAAAUUGUGGUGUGCAAAUACUGUAUAUUCCCCCUAAAUACCAAGAAUUAGAACACAAAUACGAGUAAUACAUAGAAUUGUAUGAAAUUAAGGCAAAAUAUCCAACAUCUAUCUUCUUAUUUAAAAUAUUACCAUUCAUAAUAUCGUAACAAGCAAACCACAUAAGAUUUGGACACUGGAUGAGAAAGAAUUGGUGCAAUUAUAUGCAGGAUCAGAACUCAGAAGUUUGUACAUAGGACCCGAAAUCCAUCCUCACAUACAACUUUUAUUGAUAUCAUCAAAUUAACUCUAACAAGAAUUGAGUCCACUAAGGGAAAGUUUCAGGAACUAUCUCUAUUAAAAACAUAACAGUUUCUGAAAAACACCAGUUGACCCGUUAUUUACUUCAACAACUUGCUUUAACAUGGCAUCACAAAACUAAGAAAAGGUAAUUAGCAUAAAAAUAUAUUGCACAAGUCCUUCCGGAGCAUGUAGUAAAGACUUCAAAACGAUCCCUGCCAACCCAGGUGCCUUUUUCAUAGGUAGCCUAUAUCUUCAGUAAAAUAGAGGUUUCAUAAACUUUAGUAAAUAACUUCUAAAUUUCAUUUACUAUGGUCUAUUCAAAUUAGGACAUUUGGAUGCCUAACAAAUCUAAUCAAAUGUGAAAACCCAUAAUCCAUCUAUGUUGUUAUUUUCAGUUUCUUUUGUAUUAUUCUACCAUGUAACUAAGACCACCAUCUUUACAAAUUUGAUUGUUUUUAUUCCAAAAUGGUGUUUGAAAUAGAAUAUCCUCUGCUGUAAGAUACCCAACAAGACGACAAUUGAAUUAGAUUUCCAGGGGUUCUCUAUGUUUUUGUGGUUUCAACUUUCAAGACAACCAUUUCUUGUGGAAUCUGAAAUUAUUUGGUCGAAGAUGUUCCACGGUGUGACCAUCUAUGAUUGCAAGGUUUGGAAGCGAGAUUCAAAGAAUUACAUCUUAUCAGUUCUAUCUUUAUAUGCUUACAGGUUUAUUGGUAACUUUCAAGUUAAAAAGACAAUCGUCAUGCCAUGGGAAGAUAAAACAAAAAGAUCUUAUGAUUCACGUGAGAGAAAUGGAAUAAAAGGCAGAAUAAGAAGAAAUGCAUAACUACAUAUUUAUAUAAACAGUAAACCUUUUUUUUAUUUUUUUUUUAUAUAAACAGUAAACAUUGCACCUUUUGCAUCAUUUCAAGACCCAAAAUGAGCAGAAAUAUUUCAAUGUGUUUUGUUGACAGAUCGUAAGAAAAAGCUUUAAAUGAUCAUUACUAUAAGAAGUACACUCACCAUAUAAUUGAAGAAGACGAGACGAGCUUCAUAGCAAUGUAAGUCUAGAGGAAUCUUAUGGCCAGGAUAUGUAUUUCAGUAAAGAAACUUCCCGAAUAAAAAGAUGGAAGAUCAACCAACCUUGCCAGAAGAAUCAUUAGGUGGAUGGGAGACAGCAGGAGGAUCAUGAGCACCUAGUAUUUUUAAUGCUUCCUAUGAAGAAAACACACAAUAAUGUACGAACAGGAAAAAUGUGAAGAAACAGAAAUAGAAGAGAAAAAAAAAUUCGUUAAUAACUGCUCAGCUAUUACACCCAGCUUAUGUUAGCCACUUGGGUUCUUUGAUAGUACAAUUAACAAGUUUAAUAACACCUUGACUGAUCAUACAUCACCACUUCACCAAUCUACUCACAAUAUCCUUGUUGUCACUCCAUCCUACAUGUAAUUUUUAACAGAGGGCUACUCAGUAGGUUUCCUGUUGAAAAAGCAAGAUAAAUAACUUAUCAAUAUUCUUAAAAGUACAACAAACAUAAACAUUUUAAUGUAAGAAAUUACUAUUAGUACACAAACAUACACGUCCUAUGGAGGGAGAUGAAAAUUGUCCCAUUUUCGACCUCCAGUUGUAGCCAGUUUCCCUUUUUAGCCAUUUUCUCGGCGAAAAAGGUACCAAGAUCACCUUCAAAUUGUGAAUAUUUUGAAAGCUUCCUCAUCUUCAGCAUAAUUCCAUCAAGUUUCUCUCUUUCAUAAGCAAAAAAUUCAGUAUCAUAGCUAACAUGUAGCACGAUGUCCUUUAAAUCUUCCACUCUAAUAACACAUUUACCCUUUUUGACAUCGUCCGCACUUAGAUCUUUAAGCAUAAUAGUCUUACGCUGUGGUAAUGGUGGCUUGUCAGGUAGUAACUCUGGCAUUGAAACCUCAAAAGAGCUAUUCCACGGUCGUUCUCAAGCUCAUGAAGAGCUUCCAAGUAAAAGGAAUCCAAUUUCUAUAUAAGAAGCAAAAAAAAAAAAAGACAGAAAAUCAAUACACAACAUGAAUAACAGAAUUAAAUAAUCGUAACAAUAUACAACACAAUGACAGGAUUAAACCAAUAUAAUAACAAAAAUACAAACCAGAUCGGACUUUGCUAACUCAGCCUCAGACAAGGUCUCAAUGUUUAGAGUCUGUACAUAGAAAAAUCCACCCACUAUUAUAAACAAAUGUCAAAAUGAUUAUACAGGACCAUACAUCAAAGAGAAGAAUCACAAUAAUCGUAAGCUAGAAAACACAACUGGAGCCACAAGGGUGGCCUGUUGACAGUAGAUUUUUUUUAAUUAUCUUACGUGACAUUAGUCUAAACAGCCAGAUUGAUGGUAUAUCCAUUAAACUUAAAUUAGUGAGAACAAUAUUGGACGCUACGAUUAUAUAAAAACUGAGUGUAACUUCCAAUUGCCGUUUCAAAAUCAUAAUUAUGUUCUAAAUGACCACUAACAAAUGAACAUAAUUUGGUUAGAUCAGAUGCUCUCAGGACAAUUGAUCACCUAAACGGCUAUGCAUGUCAAAAGGAAGAUUUACUCGGUAGAAAAAAAAAAUAGAUGUAGAGGAGAGAGAGAGAGAGCUACCUUGUCUGCUAGUACAACUCCAUCUGGAAUUUCAAAUUUCACAGAUGCCGAAAUCAUUACAUUUCCCUAGUGAGAUUUCAUAUAAAUAAAAAUUGUGAGAAGGACAUACCUAGAAAAUACAUAGGUCACAAUUUACGUAAAUUCGAGCAUGCAACAAGUUUUGCAGUUUCACACAUCCAUGCAGUAAAAGAGACUACUGAAAGAAACUGGAAUCUUUAUAAAAUUAAACAUGCUAACAACCAAGGGCACAAUCCAAUGUAGUUUCAGUUCAUACUUAUAGCUACAAUUUCCUUAGUCUAUUUAGUAUGUGAGUGAGAUGGUGUGCUUUAUGCGGAAGCAGAACAAAAAGAAAACAUAGUAAGAAAAUGAUUGUAGUUUCUUGUUUUUUAAGUUUUAACAUUCAAUCAUAGAAAUAUAAAAGCAUUAGAUCUGAUACCUUAAGAAUUAUACCAGAACCAAACCACACAUCACCAAUUACGUUCAAGCUGUCAAGCUCAAUGAUGCUAGGGAUCGACUUGAAGCGGCUCAAGAAAUUGCUUACCUGGAAGGCUCAAGAAUUAUAGUCAAUCAGUAUGGAACAACAGCAACAUUGAGGCCACUCAAGGUGCCUCAUUGUCAGAGCUUACCAUCUUAAAAUCAGGCCCCAAUUCAAUAAAUGGAUUGAAAGGAUUAGUUCGAGCUUGGUUUUGCACGACAAAGCCACCAGCCAAGGUGUAAAGGUCCGACUGCAUAUACAAGCAUAUGUUAAUUUCAGCUUAAUCCAAUAGGAAAUAAAAAUUUAAUCCAGAUAUAUUUUAGGCUUUUAGCUUAAGAAAACCUGAACGAGGAGCAAUUCAGAUGUUUCCUUCACAGGAAGGAACCGAGAUCGCGGAACACUAACGACAACAGGCUUGUCAAAGAACUGUUGAGACCGCGCAAUAAAUGAACAAUUAACGUUAGGGCUCGAACCUUAAGCAGGUGAAAACAUUACUUGCAAACAUACAACAUAUCUAUGACGUACUCUAAUUGCAGCUCCGGCAGCCAUUUCCAACUGAAGAGCUUUCCCACCUUCAACUUCCUGUACAUGGAAUCAAUUUCAAUAACUUGUGCAUUCAACCAAAAAAACUGCAAAUUUAGUGUAAGAAAACUAGCCUUAAAGAUUGGAAUAAUUUCCAUCUUAAAAGCAUCAGCUUCCGCAAGCCUUUUGAUACCCUUCAAAUUCACCCACCUGCCAAAUAUAGGUUAAGGUACAGCACAAAUACAUCUACACCUUCAAGGUAUGAAAGCACGUACAAGUUGUUUGUGUUGAAUAUAUUGAACUUUUCCAUGGACUUGAACUCAUUAACCUGAGACAGAGUUAUAAGCCUGUAUAGUCAUGCAUCACAUACAAAAAACAAUCCUUCUAACUUUCAAAACAUUAAGAAUCACUUACACGUUCACCAGGAACCUGAGCAAUUUCCAUGAGCUGCAAUACAAACAUGAAGCAAAUAUGUUAUUCAGACGCUAAAGAAAUUUCAGAAAGAAAUAAUAACUUCGACAACAACAAAAAAGAGCGGCUGCUUGGUUCCCAAUUUCGAAAAGAAAUGAUUUUAGAACGUCUUUUUUCAACACUCAAGCACAGCUGUGUGCUUUCUCUCCCACGAGAGCAGCAUCUCUCAGCUUCUCUUCCUAUUUGUUUCAAAGGUGAUCUAAUUUCAUCUCUUCAGCCCGGAAAUAGAAUUAGUGAAAUGUAAAGAAAUAUGAAAAACACCCCAUGCAUUCGCGCAAAGAUACAUUAUGCAGUAAGAAAAAGUCUAAACUCCGAAGAUAUACUGUUUAAUUAAAUCGUUAGGAGAUAUAGGAUCCCAAAAAGAAACUUAAAAUUAUUUAAAGUCUAUGUAGAUAGCAAGGGUCAGCAUAUGAAAAAUUCGUGAAAAAUAGAAGCACUUGCUCCAAUAAUAAAAAAAAAAGUCUUCCCUACUUUAAUCCACAAGGUAGUAAGGAUUGUGCUGUACAUUGCUCAAUUUCGACAUAACUAAACUAGAUUUCACUAUAGGACACUAUAAAGCAGUACACUCUGCAUCCAAAAUACUAACGACUACUUCAUUUAACCUUUUAUACAUAUAUCACUGCAAUCCUAUGCACGUCUCCUCGAAAGGUUUUCUUGGGGCCAGACCCUAAAAUAUAAGAUGACAGUAUCAUACAUCAGAGAUUCACAUACUCUCUAUCUGUACUUCAAGUUGUAGUACACAAACUGAGAUUAAUUAAAAAAAAAAUACUUGAAAUUCUUCAACCAAAUUUGUCAUAAAAUUUUCAGCAGUAUUUAGAUGAUUUUGCUAUGAUCAUCAUAUGUGAUAAAAAGGCUGUAAUCAAAGAAAUUCUCAACAUAAUAACAUCUCAAAUCAAGUGAUAACUGUUACUAGAAACAUUAUAUAAAUAUAGAUCCGUGAAACGGUGGGGACCAACUUUGGGUUGUGAGGGAGAAAGAGAUGGGGAAGGAGAGAGAGAGAGGAGGAGUAAGAACAAAGAGGCAUUGAAGCAGAGAGAGAGAGAGAGAGAGAGAGAGAGAGAGAGAGAGAGAGAGAGAAAGAAGACGAGAGAAGAAAAAAAAAAAGUGGACGGACGGACACUAAUUUUGGUUCCAUCCGAAGUAUAAUGGACCUCCUUAAGUCGGUCAAUUAUAUUUGAAGAGGUAUACAUGAAAUGAUAAAACAUAAAAUAAGUAAAGUAUUGACGGCCCACACACCUGAAGCUUUUCUUCAUAUGAAAUAAGAGUCCCACCUUUCCCAUCUGCUAGAGUCUUGGGAGUCACCUCCAUACAAUAUUCACACUCGUUUUCGACUAAAUGUUUUAAAAUAUCUUUCAUCCCGUCAAGGAAAAUAAUGUGCAAAAGAGAUUGAAAUAUUUUAAGGUUUUUUAGACAGAAGAAGACUAUGGAAAAGGAUACUUAAGUCUACAACUGCACCCAAGUUAUCAGCAUUUGCGACAAAUACAUACUCCCUCCCCUGAAUAAGACAGAUAUAUUGUAUGAAAUAUGCAACAAAACACCAACAUAUGCAAAUUAAAGAAAAACAAGGUUCCAAACCUGGCCUAAUAAGGUGUCAAGCAGGCCACUGUUUAUCAAGCCUGGGAAGACAUCACCAUGCCCAGGCGGAUACCUUCACAUUUGUUUUCGAGUUAUACAAAACGAUAAUAGAACAUGUUUACCAAAAUUCAGCAAUUCAGUAAAACUCAAUGUCUUUUAGAAUUUGAUAUCAAAAAAUAGUACCUAACUGUCACUAAUGACUGGAUUGUGUUCAUUAUAUAACUACCCAUCUACUAAAUGAUCUUGAAAGAAUGGUAUUCACUAGUGAAAGUUCCCCUUGUGCACCCCUUAUCUCUUUCUGCAUAUCGUAAUAACGUACCAUUCAUAUUUUGCAGUCUGACCCUUGGAAGGCAAUGGUGAAAAGUCCUCAACACCCAAGAGGGGAUAUUGACUCUAAAGAAAGCACAUCAGUCAUUAGAAUCAAUUUAAUGACGAUAUUUUUUUCAUAAUCUUAGAAAGCAUAAUUAUCAAGAUUUUACAGACCUGAUUGAACGUAUGAAUAUUUAUGUUUGACUUUGAAUAUUUCUCCAACGCCUACAUUAGAUAUGCCAAUAUACAUAAUUCAGUCCAAUAUCCAAUAAAGACUGUGACAGAGAUAAGGGGUUGGGACUCUUACUUUUUGGGUAUCGUCAUGAGUAUUAAUAGAGUUCAUCAGAAGAAGUGGUACGUUGCACCCAUACUUUGAAUUGAGAGCCUGUGUGAAUACCAAAGGUUAAAUAUAUCCAUGUGGAUCUGGAAAAGCAAUAUACUCCUAUAAAAUAAAGAAAAAGGAUAAGAAAUUUAUAGUAUAAUAACUGACCGCUACUUGAACAACAGUGAAGUCAAGAAAUGUCAGCCCAUUACGAACUUCAAUGAGAGACCUGGGGUUUCAUACAAGAAAUAUGCACCUAAGAAAGUAUGCAAGCAGCAAAUAGAAUCACAAUGGAACGUGGGAGACUGAGAGUAUACAUAUUAAUCGAAAUUGAUACGAUAACAAAAUGAGAAUUCUAAAAACAUCUACUGCAGCGAAUAUAUCAGUAGUCAAUAACACUUAACAACACACAUUAUCAAGAAAACGUAUAGUCUUUAUUUCCUUAAAUAGAGAUUUAUAAUGAAUGGAAAAGCUAAUUAAACAGGAUCAAAGUUCCUAUACUUUUUAGUUUUUUCAGAAAACCUAAGAGCAAUACUAGUUUACUAUCAUAAACGGAAGAAAUUUGAAUGUAAACAACCAAUGAUGUUAUUAACAUCUUCACCAGUUCAUAUCUCACUUAUCGGAAAGUUUCUAAACCCUCUAGAACAAGGGUUCAGACUUCAAACUACUUUAACACAGUUCUUGGUUAAAAAUUAAACAAAAUGUUCAAAGUCAAUUCAAUUUAACUAAUAAAAAAAGUCCUUUAGAAUCUUAUUAUCCAACUAAAUAUUCUCAAGUCUCAACUGAUACGCAAAUGUAAAACAUUUAGCACAUGGGGUUUGUUUAAAAAAGUUAGUUAGUAUACGAAGCCACAAAUAUUUAAAAUUGCUCAAUUGAAAUUUUUUUAUGUUAAUACAGUAAAAUCAAAUUGUUACACCCAAGCAAAAAUCACCUGAAUUUUCUGUGUGUGUGUGUGACCAAAACAAGAGAAUAUAUUCCAUAUUUCAAGUUCUAUCUGUCAUUAAAAAUUCUUAAUACACCUAUCCAAUCUCAGAAGAUGGAUGAUAACAUUACCUGGGACCAGUAAAGCCCAUUGAUGUCCCCAAGCCUCCAUUAAGCUUUAGCACCGCCACUUUAUCCAAAAUCUUUUUUAUUUCUGCUGGAUCUGCAAGUAAUUUGGAUGAAUUAAAUAAAAAAUACAAACAGAUAAAAAUUGAAUAACAAUUCAACCCUGAAUUCAAGAUACAAUUAUGCAUUGACUACCUUCAGUAGUAGGUGUUAAACUGUCGUAAAGAACUAUCUCAUCAUUUGGAGACUUGAUCUUACUCCAGUCAAGAUCUUGUGCUCCCUCACUUCACACCAAAAACAAAGCCACACCAAAAACAAAGCCGAAUAACAAAAAACCUAAAAAGAAUCAAAUCAAAUUUCAAGAACCGAUGAAACAAGAUGUAACAUAGGAUUCUAAGCAUAAAAAAAGAUCUAUUUUAAAUUCACAACAUCCACGAUCAAAAUCUAUACUUCAGUAAAAAAAAACAAAUCUUACAAGAACGAAACCUAACCUCAUGUAACGAGUGACCAGAUUUACGAACCCAGAUUUUUCCAUCUCACUAACAUUCAACACAGAUUCAUUAGCUAAAUAUACAAAUCGUAUAGUUUCAAAACAAUCUAGUCGAAUCGUUUACCUCAUUUCGGUAAUGGUUAAAAGAGUUGAGUUUAGCUUUGCGAUCUUUUCUGCGUUAUUAGGGUUUCCAGGCGCCAUUAGAGGGUUCGAUGAAUAGAAAGAGAAAGAGGUGGGAAUUGCAAAGAGGGUUUCGUUCAAAUGAGAAAGAAAACUGAUUGCACCGCCAACGUGCUGCGAAAGAUUUUAUGGAAAUGGUUCUGGACUUCUGGUACCUCGCUAAGAGUCCGCAACAGACAAAUGGCCCAACUAAAGCCCGGUUGAUAAAAUUGAUUCCAUACGUGUUGGCCCAACUAAGACCUGGUGUAUAAUAUAGAACCGUGAGACGGUGGGGACCGACUUUAGAACAGAAAUCGAAGAGGUACGAAGAGAAGAUAAAUAAUUGAGAGAGAGAAGAAAAAUAAUUGAGAGAGAGAAGAAAAAUAAAGGAGAAGUAUGAGAAUUGAGAGUGAGAAAGACACAGAGAGAGGAGAUGAGAAGAAGAUAAAAGAAAGACGAAGAAAAGAAGGAGAACAAAGAGGAGAGAGAAAACAAAAUUAAAAGUGGACAGACGGACACUAUUUUUUCUCUGACCCGAAGUAUAACGGACCUCCUAAAAGUCGGUACAGUAAGAACCGACGUCAAAAGAAUAGAAAAAAAAAAUUCGAAAAAAAUUUCAAAAUAAAACAGACAGAACACAUUCAAAAGAGCUAAUUAGUAGUACCCCCUCCCCUCGGAGUCAAGGCAACAUUACGAUACCCCUACAACUCCAAAAAGAUUUGUGUCCCCCCCCCCCCAAAAAAAAAAAAUUUAUUUUACGGUGAAAAAUAAUUUGGGGGGGUUGACACAAAUCUUUUUGUUGGGGGUAUCGCUAUGUUGCCUUGAAUUCCGAGGGUGUAUCACUAAUUAGCUCAAUUUAAAAAGAAACAAAAAUUGGACAAACACUAGUUUGAGUCCCACCCGACUCUAAAUGGACCUCCUAAUAUCGGUCGAAUAUAGAACCGUGAUAUGGUGGGGACCGACGUUAGAAAUUGGUAGACUAGUUUGCAAAAAGAUUGUAAAAAUUGCGGUGUAAAGAUUGUAUAGAACCGUGAUAGGGUGGGGAUCGACGUUCUGAAAUUGGUACGGGUGUUUGUAUUCAUAGUUCAAAAUGCUGAUUUCAAACAAAAUUUUGAAUCCUGAAUAAACGAAUUGUGCCGCUUGAAAUCUAUUUAGAAAUUUUGUAUAUCCGAUUUCUCAAAUAUCGGCAUAAUUUUGUAGUAGCACCUAAAAUUUUCUCUGUCAGUCCAUGAGAGUACCCAUCAGAUAACCAAUAUUUCAUUCAUGCAUUUCAUGAUCCAAUGUAAUUAAGAGACAACAAUUACAGGCUAAUCCUGGAUAUAAUGCAAGAAGAGAUACAUUUAACCAUGAUUUGUACACACCCAAGAGACAUAAAUAUUCCAUUAAAACAAUUUAUGUUAAAUGCAAUACAUCCUUUGCAGAAUGGCCAUUCUUUAGUUGUAUUCCAAACCUUAGAGCAUUCCCAACGGUAAAACACUUUUACUGGUGCCAUGUAAGGUGGUUUGAAAGAAUGUUGAUGUUUCCCAUGGUUUUAGCAAUAAAAAGGUUUUAGUGUUUUCAAUGUUGGAUUAUUGAAACCACAAUCUUUCUGUGGUAUGGAUUCAUACCACACUAAUUGUGGCGGAUGGAUCUUCCUUAGAUGAGUCCACACUAAUUGUAGCGGAUGGAUUCCUACGUGGCACUUUUAACUCCUUCGCAAAUUUGCCAAGGAGUUAACAGUGUUUUGCUUGAAAAGUGUUAAAAGCUACGCAAGUGUUUUCACUAAAAGUUUACUAAAAGCGUGCUAAAACCUACCAUUGAGAAUGCACUUAGAGCAUUCCCAAUGGUAAAAGGGUUUUAAGGGUGCCACAUAGGAGAUAAAGGAAAGGUUUUAACAAAAAUUAAUGUUAAAAGUAAUUAGUACUUUUAGGUUUGUUUGAUUCGGGUGGGAUUUUUUCUGGUAAAAUUUUAAGAGGGGCAAAUCAGUAACUGCACAAUAUAGCAAGAAGAGAUCUUAAUUUCCGUCACUUUCACUUCUUCUCUUCUCUUCUUCCCCUGUUCUCUUAUUUUAGAAAUUCCAUUUUGUGUCCUUCAUUUUCCCUGGUAAACUGAUUUACCGCUUGAAUCAAACAGACCCUUAAAGCAUUUUCAAUGAUAAAAGGCUUUUAGGGGUGCCACAUAGGAGAGAGGGAGAAGGUUUUAGGAUAGAUUUGAUGUUAAAAGUAAUUUAUGGUUUUAGAGUUGCCAAUGGUUGAGUGAUAAAAGCUUAAAAUUUCACUUUCCCAAAGGCAUGGUGUAUAAAAUUUAAUUUUGAAUUAAUUAACUAAUCCUAUGUGGCACUUUUAACUCCUUGGCAAAUUUGCCAAGGAGUUAAAAGUAUUUUGUUUGAAAAGUGUGUUAACAUCAACCAUUGGCAAGAAUUUUUUUACUAAAAGUUCUUAAAAGAGAUUUAAAACCUACCAUUGGGAAUGCUCUUAGAGUUACCAAUGGUUGGUUUUAAAAUUAGUGUUAAAAUCUAAGGUUUCACUUUUCCCCAAAAACAUAACGUAUGUUGUUAAAACCUACCAUUGGGAAUGCUCUUACAGAUAAGGUUAGAUAACAUUCAUUAGCAUUAUAGCAUUUUUAUUUUAUUUUUACGCAAACAUAUUAUUUGAAGCCAUGUCUAACAGUUAGAGCAUUCCCAAUGGUAAAUGGCUUUUAGGGGUGCCACAUAGGAGAGAGGGAGAAGGUUUUAGGAUAGACUUGAUGUUAAAAGUAAUUUUUUGUUUUAGAGUUACCAAUGGUUGAGUGUUAAAAGCUUAAAAUUUCACUUUCCACAAAAAAUGGUGUAUAAAAUUUAACUUUGAAUUAAUUAACUAAUCAUAUGUGGCACUUUUAACUCUUUGGUAAAUUUGCCAAAGAGUUAAAAGUAUUUUGCUUGAAAAAUGUGUUAACAUCAACCAUUGGCAAGAGUUUUUUACUAAAAGUUCUUAAAAGGGUUUUAAAACCUACCAUUGGGAAUGCUCUUACAAUUUACUCCAACAUUUAUGCUUGGAACGUUUCCAAGCAUUUCACAAACAAUAAGAACUACUUAAAAGGGAUAUCAUUAAUAAGAAACAUAUCUUACAUAGUUUACAUUGAACAAAAUGAAUUAGAAUACUAAAAUUCUUCAAUUUAUAUCGUAACUCAAACCUACGAAGUAGGAAGAUGGGCAUAUUAUGUAAAUCUUCUUUAUCAAUCAAUUAGAUAUGUUUCAAGGCUGACUUCAACAAGAGUACAAGACACUAAUCAACUCUUCACUGGAAAAUUAUAUUUAGUAGACCUGCUUCCAUCAAACUAGAUAUCCAGCUCUUCACACCAAGUGCCUGGCUGGUUGUAGGGGUACUAUAUACAACAUACAUGUGGCACCAUCUCUACCGUCCAUCAUGGUGCCACAUGUCAUCAUCUAAUGGACUCUCUCUUGAUGGCACAAGUUACAAAGUUAAAGCCAAUUACUACAAAGAUAUUCUCUCAUCAUUACCUCAUUAAAUGCUAGGAAUGGAGUUACAUUGUAAGCCUAUAAAUAUGAAGGCAAAUCACUCAUUCCAGACAUGGUCUGAUAGUCUAAUGCUCUCACCACUAUCUCAUGGUGAGGUCUCAAUAUCAACGACCUCCCUAAUCUCUCAUGAUGAGACCUCACCUCUCAGGUCUCAUCUCUCUCGAGCUCUCCUCAUAAUCGAGCUCCCAUUUUGUAUCACCACCACUACUAUAAUAAAGAUCAUUCUCUCUCUCCGUGGAUGUAGGCACAAUUACCGAACCACGUAUACAAUGGUGUUCAUGUCUCUACUUUAUUAUUAUUGUUCAUAUCAUACAGAUCAUCAUCAUUCAUUAAUGUACUGACCAACCUCACAAAAAUGGUUAAUACACUGGUUCAACUGGUUAAGCCUUGGUAUCAAUGGUCAUGGGCUCUGCUGCCUUUGUUGUUGCUUUCUGCAAUGAGAAUAAACAUAUUUAUUAAGUAAACUAGCCACUUUACCCAAUACAACAAGGGUCAUGAUUCACAAUUAAAAAUCAUGGACUCACAUUAGAUUCAAGUGUGUGUCUACCUUGCUCAUCUAUAUCUAUAUACUAUAUAAUAGUGGAGCCUAACAAAUACCACGUGGCGUUAUUAUAGAGAUCUGAGUUUCAUGAGAAGGCCCAAUCCAAGCCCAAUAUAAGCCCAUUCUACAAACCAAAUAUUUAGAAUUCUGCUUAAGUUCUUUUACAUUGACAAAAACCCAUAAAAAAAAAUAAAAAAAAACUAAUCGUGUUCUAUGGUUUUGUUCUCUGCGAAAGUUUUUCAUUCAAGGCAUCAAGCUACUCCCCCUUCGAUUAAGGUAAAUUUUAAAUAAUAGUAAGUAAAGUUUCUAAAGCUUUGUUUUUUUAAUUAAAAGUUUAGGCUUUUAAUUCAAUUUUCCAAUACUCAGGACUCUAUCUUUCUUACAAAUAAGUUUUGAUUAAUAUUAUAAUAAAAAUUAUUGUGAUGAAUUGAUAGAGAUUCUGUUCUAUCACCUUAAAUAAGUUGUGAUGAUAAUUAAUAUUACUUAAAUAGGGUUUAAUGUUACAAACCUUAAACUGAAAAACAGUCGGCUAAUUAAACCUUAAUUUCCAAGACUACUCAUCUCCCCUUCUAGGAUGGAUGCUUUUUAAAUUAAUUCCAAAACUUUGCUAACACAUGUUUGAUUAUAAUGGUGCACACAAUUGCAGCUAUGAUAUGCUUAUGUAUUGAUUGUUUUUCACUAAAUUGAUCCAUCACAUGCAUGGUAAUGUUUUCAAUCUCUUCUAUCAAUUAGAUUUAUUUUUACUUUGUGUGCGUUUCUAUUAUAUUUGUGUGUGCUUCUAUUAAUGUUAUAUAUGAAGGUAUUAGAUCGACCCUUUUACAGAGACAACCUCUUUUUUUAAGAAAUGGAGAAAAUCAAUUGUCAACCUGAUGUUAAUACCUGCAACUCCCUAAUUAAUUGUUAUGGUAAGAAUGGUGAUGCUAAUGAAGCUCACAUGCGGUUUAAGGAAAUGCAAGAAACGGGGUUGAAUUCUGAUGUCAUGACAUAUAGUACACUCAUUGAGUGUAUCAGUAAAACAAGUAAGGUGAGCUUCCUUAACAUCGUGACAUACAAUAUUUUACUUGACUGUCUUCCGAAGUGUGCAAAAACGACAGAGGUGCUAGAGUUUUAUGUAAAACUAAAGCAGCAACGACUAACUCCGGAUUCUAUCACCUAUGUUGUUCUGGAGCAAAGUGAAUCGCGCAAUCUCAAGCAUAACCCCAUUAUCGGUUGGGAAUGACAUGUCAGACAUUUGAAUGACUUCACCUAGAUCGAACUGCACCAGCAAGUGGAUUUGGAUGGAAACUCAGUAUGCAGCUUAUGAGGUUUGAAUUACAUUGUAAUCUUUGUUGUAUCAUAAGUUAAUCACAUUUAGUUUGAUACCUAUAAUAACCCUAUGACAUAACUUCAGUUUCUGUAUUGAAUGUACAGAGUUCACUUCAAACCUUUUAGAUGGAGAACAUGGUUGAUACUUGGUACCCCAGCUACGGAUCCAGACAUUGCUCAAUUCCAUAACAUGAUGAAGAAGGUGGCACAUAGUGAAGACUGAGAUUGCUUUAGUUGUUGCUGCAAUUCCAGCCUGUUUGAGGACAAGGCUUGCAUUCUUAAUCAAGUAAGUGGAAAGGAGAGCUUUGAGUUGGCAUUCGUUGCAGGGAUGUUUCUUCAUUUUGGACUCAAUGUGUUGGAGGUUAGACUAUAGUUCACUUAAGUCCCUACGUUUUCGCACAUCCUUUAUAUAUAUAACAACUCACAGAACCCUGAUGAUUUACUUGCUGUGGAAUUAUUUGCAUGAUCCAUACAUUAUUUUAUGUGGGACUUUUGUGCAACACAAUAUAACAACCUUAUUAACAGUUUUUUUUUUUUUUUUGUACUGAACUUGAUCAAGAACCUUCUUUAGCAUACCUCAAAUAUAUAAGGCCAACCAAUUACCUAUUAACUCUCUGCGUGGGAUCUAAUUUUGAAUCAGAAACCUCUUCACCUUAGUUACGGAGGACCAGUUCCUUACCAGAUCGACAUGAGGCUAAACUAACACCAAGAUAGAGUGAAAUAUAAGGCUGCUACUUUUUGGUUUGUUUUUGCGCAUAAAAGUAAUCCUAGGAAUAGUGUUAAUUCUACAUGGGCUCUAAUGUUGAAUCAGGAACCCCUUCACCUUAAUUACGGAGGACCAGUUCCUUACCAGAUCGAUAUGAGGCUAAACUGAAACCAAGAUAGAGUGAAAUAUAGGGAUGCUCCUUUGUUUGUUUUUGCACAUAUUAGUAAUCCUAGGAAUGGUGUGAUUUAUGCACCUGCCAUUCAAAUCAUUAGAAAUGAAUGUUGAUUAGUCCAUUUUUUCACAUAUAACAUUAUUCUCUAAAUGAUAUAUGAUUAUAUAGUUUGCAAAACGAGUUAAUUUUCAAUUGAAUUUUUUUCAGGUCAUGCAGCUUGACUACUAAAUAAGAGAAACUGUAUGCGGUUGGAUGGACUAUGUUUCUCCUGUUUUUUCCAAGUAAUUUGAACAUACAAAUGCGUUUUUUGUUCUUAGUGAUUUAUGAUUCUUUUAGGGAUCGAUGAUGCAUUGGUUAAUCUUUCGGUAAUAAGUUUAGCCGACACAUGACAGAAAUGAGAUCAUAACAUCUUCAAUCAUAACAAAGUUCACCAAAUCAGUUGCAGUUCUAAAAUUGAAUGUGAUACAGUAGUUGUGAUUAUGAACAUGUCAUAGACGUCUGUUUCGAAAAAUCAUCAUACCUUAUACUCUCAUCAAUUAUGUAUGUAUAGUCGUAUAUACGCACUUAUAGCCAAAAUAGGAAAACAUUUUCAAAGUACCGGUUUAAUCAUUAUAUCCUUGAAAUUAAUGGUACCUAAACUGUUUUGUUUUAUAGUUCCAAUUCAUAAUAUAUUUUGCACUUAGAUAUUGAGAACAAAUGUUAAAAACUUACGAUAGACAAUUAGUGUUUGUAGCUGGGAGGACUAGAAAGGCUGUGGAGUGAGCCAUGAAUCUUAGUAUUUUUCGUCAACAUGAUCUUUCAUGUACACCAAUGAGUGAUAUUACAUGUCUACUUUGUAUCGCGACAUAAAUUGCAUUACUGAUGGUAUAUUCAGUUUCUUAGCAGACAACUUGGUUGUUGAACAGACCUUUGGACCAGUAAUCCAUUGACACUCUUUGUAUUUACUAUACAUAACUGAAGUAUUCAACACCAUGGUCCCUCUAUAUCACUAAAACUUCUAGUUAAUAAGCGGAUCGUUUUGAUUACUUAAACAAACCUAUGGACCAUAGACAAAUAAUCUGAGGUGACAAUGUCAUUUAGUUAUACUUAGCUUGACGUAGACUUAUAUUUGUUUUCAGACUUUUUGGAGCACUUCGGUUCUUAGCACAAUCGACUAAGAUUUCGUUCAGAUUAACAUAGGUCCUCUGUAAAUAUUAUAUCUUUCUAUCUUUGUAGUUCUUUGAUUAAACUUACUUUUUUUUUUUUUUUUUUUUUGAGGUAACUUAUGUAAGAAAAUUUUCUAAGGUGUUUGGAGCGUUCCCUGGUUGAACUCACAUAUAACUAACAACUACAUUAUAGCGCAGUAGAGGCCAACCAAGUUGUUCAUAUCUAUGCCAACACAAUCCAGUUCUUUCUUCUGAUGCUACUAGCCCGUUGAAACUCACAAAUGUGUCGUAUGUUCUUAGCUAUUAUGUUUCAUGUUAAUAGUUUUAAUAUGCACAUAUGAAGUCCGUUUUGUUUUUUUUUUUUUUUUUUUUUUUUUUUGUGUUUUCCAAAUUUUUAAUAAACUGAUCUCUGAAAUUUUGAAGUAACCCGAAAUUGACUAUUUCAAAUUUCCUUAACUAACUAUUAGAUGCGUUAUUUUGUGGGGGAUAGAAGGUACACCUUGGUUGGCAUUUGAAUAGGUUGCAAAUGAAGACAACAGAUUCAACCUUUGUACGGAUUGGGACCUUUGUACGAAUUGGGUGGAUCGUGUAGAUACUCCAUACAGACAGAAACUCAAGAGUGGAGUGUAUUUGUUUUAAAAUAUUUGUAAACAAUCCUUCAGUUCAAUUGCAAUUACAAAUCACACCAAGAUCUAUAAAUUUAUCUUUAUCAAGAAAAUAUGAAAUUAAGGGAAAAAAUAAAUAAAAUUGGUCUAUGAUUGAUAAUAUGCUCUGUUAUGUUAUUAUUCUACUUUCCUAUGGUUCAUUUGUUGUUAUUAUUUUCUUUGAGACUGCUAAAAAGUCUACUAUUGUUAAACACAUUUGAAUCGUUGAGCUCGAUUGAAGUGUUGUUAUUGUUGUUAUUGCAAUUAUUUGGGUAAUUUGGUGUAUGUAGAACGCGACAAUUUGCACAGAGGAAGAGUUUUCAAGCGAGGCAACAGUGUUGAGAACAAAGAUAACUACAUGGUCAUGGCUGACAAUCAGUCAGGAAAGGUUGCAGAACAGGAAAGAACAUAGGUUAUAUGAGCUGAAGUAAGGCUGGGAGAUAUUUGUUCACAAACUCAGAGAACUCACCAGCAACAAAGUGGUGACAAGGUGGUGCACGACUGUUAAAAGACAGCAGUGGACUGAGAUUCAAAGCAAUGACACAACAUGGGAAUUUUGAUUGCAUGGCAGCAAGAGAAGCAACAACAGAGCAACAACAGAGUCAGGUAAAGUAUUCUCAACGUUCAGUUGUUACAGUAGAUGCAGUAGUUGAAGCAUGGUAGAGAGCAACAGUUCCAAGGUCUAUAUGCUGGGAAUGUUGUCUUUUGGUUGUAUGCUGGGAAUGUUGUCUUUUUUGGUUAGUAUGCUUUGUACUGAAUAGUUUUUGGUUGUAUGAUGGGAAUGAUGUCUUUUUUGUUUGUACCCGAUACGCCAUAUGGUAACCUGAUGGGGUUACUUAACCCCCAUUGAUCAAGCAUGUAUGAUGUGUUUCUUAAGUGAUUUAAUGAAUUUUUAUUUUGGAAAAAAAAUGUAAAAAAUAUGAAAAAGGUUGAUCAUAUAUUGAGGUACUGCAAUGGGCAACACAAGGUUUGUAGUAAGAGUAGCUUCCACACAAAAAAUCCACAGUUUGAAUUAUAGGUACAACUGUAUCGAAAAAAAUUAUAGAUACAAUUAAUUCACAAUAGGUAAAAAUAAGUUGUGUUAGAGAAAUAUCAAUAUUUUGAUCCGUACUAAAAUGAUUGUUAGUAACUACUUAAUGAGAACUUGCAACUAUGCUUAUUGUAUGUUUGAGACACUGAUCCAAAACAUUAUGUCUUGAAAUAUCUUAUGAUCAAUCUCUGCUAGACUUUUUAAGAUGAUUGUUAUCGGAUAACAAUUGGUGAUGAGAAUUGGUUUGAGCAACCUGGUGGUAUAAUUGGGCCUUGGAAUGGAUAUUUGAUCAAGGUUACAUAUGUUGUUCUUUUGGUGCUAUCUCUCUACUGAUGAUAUAUUGAUGAGAAGUGAUGAUUUAGGCGAUAUUAGAGCAUUGUUGGAUGGAUUUGUCAUGGUGUCAUUGCUUAAGAAUCAAAGCAAUCCUAUGGUAUUGGGUGUGGGGUUCACCAGAAAAGGCAUUUUUUUGACGAAAUGAUCAUCGUUUGGUAUACGUACUUUAUUAGGCAUUUGAUGAGGUGAUCAUACCAUGGUGGCCUUUUUUUGUUCUCCUUUGUUUUUUACUUUUUAUAUUUUGGUGUUUGCCUGAGUUUCGAUCUCACCAAUACCUUGGCUUUUGUAAACUCUUUGAGUUCAAUCAACACAAGUUCUACUUAACCAAAACAAAAAAAAAAAAACAAAAAAAUGAUCUCUAUUUAUACAAUUUAGUUAUGUAAGUACAAAUCAUAAUAUCUUUGAAAAAUAGCAUUUGCAUUACAAGUGAUUCUCCGUAUAAGAUAACACAUAUCCCGGUGCGUAGCACGGGUUCAACAACUAGUCUUAGCAAAUAUGUUGCCAUAAAAGUGGGCCUCCUUUUUUAUUGUACUCCUUUAUUUUCUCCUUCAAUACGUUGUACUUUAGCUUCAAAUCCCUGGUUCCGCAAGAAAGUCAAUUAUUGACCUAAUUUAGUGAUGAGAGUAUGUCAGAGAUGAGCAAACUAAUACAUGGCAAACUAAAGCAUACCUGUUGUGGGGAUCAAUUUCUAAAGCCUUCUUGAUAUCCAACUCUGCAACCAGUGUGCAGAUUACCUAGCUAGUAUAGGUUGUACUGAGGAUGAAGGACUGAUUACCUUUACUCCACCUAUGGAUGAAAUUUUGUGUAGACAUGUUAGUGAUGAUAUGUCAAGCACAAUUUAUGAGAGUGUAACAUCUUUUUGAUCUUAUAAUACAGGUGGGGGUCUGCCUAACCCCAGCUUAAUUGUCAAAAAAAAAAAAAAACUCUGCAAGGUCCAAGUCAACCAGCUGAAUUUAGGCUUGAGCAUGUCUAUAGAGCGCCUUCACAUUUUGUGCCUCAAUUUCUAAAACCUGCAAAAUCAUAAUCACUUUAAUAUUCGUUCGGUUAACCUGGUUUAUAAUUAUUUGCAACAAAGGUUCUCAGUUUUUUAUGGGGACUCGGUUAAAUUCCUGAGUCUGAUCAGUUUUAUCUGUAAAUUAAAAACUUCUCUCACUAACGAAGUCGUGAAAAACAUAGUAAGCAAUAACAUGGACAAUAGUAUUCAUUUAAAAAGAUCAUACCAUUAGGGAACUAGAAGGUUGCUGAAUUUUCUGCCAUAGACUGCUUCUAGCUCAUAGCCAAGUUUCUUAACUGAAAAUUUUCUUAACACACUGCUGGCACUGAGAAACUCUUAAGGGUCUGUUUGAUUCGAGUCCGGGAAAUAGAUUUUCCGGGAAAUUUUAAUUUCCCAUGUUUGAUUAAAUGGAAAAUAAGCGGUAAAUAUUUAAAACGAAAUGAUAAGUUAAAAUGUUGGGACAAAUUGGAGCUCAAUUUUGUCGAACUCUCACUACAAACAUAUUUAAAUGAUUUUCCAAAAAAAUUCAUGAUCAAUAUAGCAUUAUAACUAUUUUAUCAAAAUUUUAUUUCCCGAAUAUUUGCACAUGGUAAAUUUAUUUCCCGUAAACUCUUUUCCCGCCCGAAUCAAACAGACCCAGAUUCGGCAGGUAUGUACUGGUCGGGUACAGAUGGUGGCUUCUCUCUCUGUGCACUUGGAUAAUCGUUUUCACUUGGCUUUCUGCUCAAUGAUGCAGUACAACUCAUUGCUGCAGUGUUUAUAACUAUUUAGAUGCAAGCCGCUCCCAGAUGGCAAAGGAGCUUUUAUGGGAUUCCACCAUUCCGAACAAAUCUAUUUAGUUCAUCAUUAUUGAUUUCUACUCAUUUAGCUGCACAGGGAGAUGGGUUGGAGCCUUGGAGGCCAUAGGUUGAGAAGAAUUGGUUGUGCAAAUGUUGUUUGAGAUUUCACAAUCCAACUCAGAUGAUUCCAACAUCUCCAUGUCUGUAGAAUUUGCAAGUAGCCUUGAACAACGACUAAUAACUUUGACAAAUGCCUAAAAAUAUCGCAUUCAAUUAGAUAAAUUUAGAAACACCAUCAACUGAGAGAAUUUGAUAUAAAAAAAAAUUCUGGAAACUGAACUCUAAUAAUUAAAUAAAAGGAAAGAAAAAAGGAAAAAAAAAGACAAGGCAUUGAGCAGUUUGGAUGUCACCAUGCAUGAAUACAAUUAGAUCAUCUGCAAAAGAUAGAUGAGUACUAACUGGAUCAUCGCAUCUAGAGUGUAAUUUGAAUUCUCCUUCUCGAACAUUAUGCAUCAUGAUCUCAGUGAAUAGAUCCAUGACCAACACAAAAAGAUAUGGUGACAUAAGGUCACCCUGUCUGAUUCCCCUCUUCCCAUUGAAGUAGCCAUGGGGUGCACCAUUUAGCAUGAUGGAGUACAUAGGGGUGGUAAUGCAUGUCAUAAUCCAUUGUAUGAACCCGUGUGGGACUCCAAUCCUCUGAAGUAUGAACUCCACAGCGUUUCACCUCACAGAAUCACAGGUCUUUCUCAAAUCUAUCUUUUCUGCACAUCUCGGGCUACCAUGAUCUCUAUGAUAAUUAUGAAGAAGCUCUUGUGAUAGUAAAGUGUCGUCUUGAAUGCACCUGCCAGCUAUGAAAGCAGAUUGAUUCAAAGAAACAAUAUCUGGUAAAAACAUCCUCAUCCUGUUAGUAAUAAUUUUCGUGAUGCAUUUGUAAACAACACCACAACAGGCAAUGUAUUGCAUUCUUGGGAAUUAAAGUAAUACAUGUUGCAUUUACCUCCCUUAGCAUGCUCCCUGUUCUGAAAAAGUUUUGUACGGCCUGUACAAAAUCAUCUCCAAUGGUUUUCCAGGAGUGUUUUAAAAAACCACGAAGAGAAACCAUCAGCUUGCAAAGCCUCCCAUACAUCUAUAGUAAUCCGUGCUCUCCCUGAUAGGUUUUCAAAUGCAGAGAAGUCUAUGUCUGGUAACUCAUCGUGCAUACAACUUUUUAUAAAACUUGACACAUUCGUUCCCAAUAGCUUCAAUGUUUCUAUUACUGCACCACUACUAUCAUUUAAACACGUGAUUUUAUUAUGUACUCUCCUUGUCUUGAUCGAGCUGUAAAAAUAAUUUGUGUUAUGAUCGCGCCCAAAACAAUGGUACAAUCUUUAAUUUUCUGCUUAUGGUAUGACUCAUCAGCCCUGGCAGCCUCUACGAAUUUCUUAAUAGCCUGCGAUUCUGCUGCAAUCUUCUCACUGUUCAACGGAUCAGUUGUAAUGCAGUUUGCCUCAUGUCCAUUUCUUUCCUGGCCUCUUGUACUCUAUUGACCACAUUCCCUACCUUUAUUUUGUUCCAGCCUUUAAGUUCUGCCUUCACCAGUUUUAGCUUCGCCAUGAACCUAUACAUUGGGUUACGUCUUAUUGUGCUGCUCCAUGCGUUGGUAACUGCUUCACUAUAGCCCUCCUCAGUGGUCCAAAAAUUGAAAAAUCUAAACAUUUUUCCUUUGUGGGACUGCUGGUGCAUAUGCCUUACUAUGAUAGCUGAAUGAUCUGAGGUGAUGCCUGGAUUCAGAAACUCAAGUUCAUAGUCACCAAAGGUGUUUAACCACACACAGUUUAUCAUAGACCUGUCAAGCUUACACCAGGUUCUAACCUCCUCCUUGUCAUUCCAUGUCAAAAAAUUUCCACUAUACUUCAUAUCAACGAGCCCGGCGACAUUGUUACAUUGUAGAAACCCCAUAAAGUUGUAUGCUCUAGCAUCAGCACCCCCACCUUUUCAUUAGGAUUGAGUACAGUACUAAAGCCCCCUAUAAGUAACCAUGGUAUGUCCACAGCUCUCUCCUCUUAACAUGGUCAUUCUGGUUCUUAAUAUUGUGACCUGCACAUAUAAAAAGCCUGAUAGUUAUUGCCGUUCCAACAUUUGCAAAUGCUAAACAAUCAGCAAUUUUUUUUAUUUUUAUUUUUUAAAUAAACUGAGGUUUUUUUUUUAUUAUCUCAAAAAAAAUUUACAAUUCUGAUCAGCCCACGUCAUAAAGAGUGGCGUCGGGUUGAUAUGUUGCAGAGAGGUGAAACAGUUUUCACCUUCCCAAACAAAAGAACAGAAAAAGAAACAUAGAUUCUGUCCAUUAACCAGCUCCAGUGCAAUGCAGACUUCAUGGUAGCAGCAAGAUCUCCCAAUUAGUUAACAUAUCACUGAAGCUAUAAUCUCUGUUCCUACUGGUGCCUCUACCGACAUGAUUGCAUACUGAACCCAGCCUAGGCUGGACUGCCCUGAAGAUUGCAGCGUUUCUCACGUUCCAAAUGAUCCAACAAGUAGCAUGUUGUAUAUUGGCUCGCCAUAGUUGGGUGCACAGGAUCAAACCUUAUAAGAGGUGUGAUCCAUAAGAUCAGUUUCCUAUAUUGGUUAAGGAAACCAUAUAUGUGUAGGAGUUCUAUUUGGACUCGGUUUCCUAUUUAUCUCUAGUUUGAAUUAGUAAUUCUAUAUGGAUUUGAUUUCUAUCCAUGGGCUAUAAAUACCCAAGUAACUUGGUAUUUGUAAGACAAGAAAGCAAGAGAAGACAAGAGAGUAGAAAACAAUAGAAACAUAGAGAUAGAUAGAGUAAGUGAGAGAGAACUUUGGGAGCCAAGGGUGUAUUGGGUUUAAGGUGAGAGAUUAAGAUCUAGAGAAAGAUACUAGGGAGAUUAUUGUAAUCGGUGUUUCUUUUCUUAUAGUGAAAUCUUCUCAUUGUUCCCCGUGGAGGUAGGCAUUGCCGAACCACGUAUAUCUUGGUGUUAUUGUUCUUUAUUAUUUUGUUCUUCUUAUACUAUUGUUUAUUGUUUGGUAAUCUUUGACUUCAUUGACAAAACGGAUCCUGUAUUGCAAAGGAGAUGUUCUCACGAAUAUCUAGGUUGCGGGUUGUUGGCGUUGUUAGGAUUUAAUUAAUCACUGCAUAUAGUCCAACAAGUGGUAUCAGAGCUUAGGUUGGAUUUAAGGUUUUGUCAAAGAUGACGGAGACUACAAGUGUUCCUGCAAAUAGUGACGGUAAGAAACCAUCGGUUACUACUCUUGGCGGCGGUGUAAAAGUUGAGAUUAAACCGUUUGACGGUAGAGAUAACUUUACACUAUGGCAAAGGACAUGUCAGAUGACGAGUGGAACAAAGCAGAUCUCAAAGCCAUGAGUUCCAUCGAACUACAUAUCUCGGACGAGGUGAUGUUUAAUGUGAUGGAGGAAACUUGUGCCAAAGGAACGUGGGAUCGGAAAAGCUCAAGAAGUUGUAUAUGGGUAAGUCUUUAUCAAAUAAACUUUUCUUGAAAGAUGAACUCUUGAAUCUUCGGAUGGAAGAAGGUGGUGAUCUUAUGGAACAUCUAAACGUGUUCAAUAAGUGCAUCACAAAUUUGCUACGGGUGGAUGUGAAGUAUGACGAUGAAGACAAGUCUUUGUACCUGCUCAGAUCUUUGCCUCCAUCUUUCAAGCACUUCAGGACCACAUUGAUGUUCGGCAAGGAUACUUUAAAGUAUGAUGAAGUUGUUCAAGAUAUAAUCUCUCAUGUGAAGAUGAAUAAGAACACAGGUGAAGACUCUCAAGCAGAAGGACUAUAUGUCAAGAAUUCUAAUGAGAGGGGCCGAACAAAUAAGAGAAGUAGCAAAUCAAAAGGCAGGGGCAGAUCUAAAUCCAGGGAUAAAGAAGGUUGCUUUGAAUGUGGUGCGACAGACCACUGGAAACGAGAUUGUAAGAAAUAUAAGGAAAAGAAGAAGAAGGCCGAAAAUUCAAAUUCAGCCAGCGUUGUUACAGAUGAUAGCGACGGAGAAAUUUUGGCGACUUCUUCAGGUAAUGAUAUUUCUUCGCCUUGGAUUUUAGAUUGUGGCGCUUCUUAUCAUAUGUGUUCAAACGAAGACUGGUUUGACACGUUUGAGAAAAGAAAAGGCGACGUAGUUUUUAGGGUAAUUUCCCGAAUAAGUACAACAUUAUGCACAACAUUCCCAAAUAAGUAACAAGUCUAAAAACUUUCCCAAACAAGCACAAAGAUUCUCUUUAAAAAGUUUUUUUUGUCUUUUAGCUAAAUUUUCUUCCGAUAUUACCCUUAGUACUUAAAUAAUAGUUUUUGUUUAUUUUUUUGUUUGAAUGACUGAUGUGACAUGUGAGAAAAAAAUUCUUCUUUAAAUAAGGACCAUUGGAUUUGUAGGAUGAACUGUGACCGUUGGAUGUAGAGUUUAGUUGGGCUAAUUUGUAAGAAAACCGAAAUUAUCUGCUAAUCUGCUAAUCAGCUACACGUGGCAGAAGUUUAACAGGUAACAAAGAGGCGGGCUUUUAGUUGGGGAAAAAUUAAAAUUAGGGAUUUCAAUUUCAAUUUCGCACAGCAAACAACUUCUCUCUCAUCUUCUCCUUCCUCAACCGUCGCCACUCUUCCUCUCAUCUUCUUCUUCUUCCUCAACCGUCGCAACUGUUCCUCUCAUCUUCUUCUUCUUCCUCAACCGUCAUAACCUCAAUUUAUAAGCCUCCAUUCUCAAAGUUCUAAUUCGACAAAACAUGAAGGAAAUUAAGAAGAAGCAGCAGCAAACUAGAGAUGAUGAAAUCGAAAAAGGUAGGCGAUUUACUCUCACAGUUAGGUGUUCAACAACUAAAUUUUUUGAACACUUUCAACAUCCAAGUGAUAAAAUUCCACCGGAAGAGUUAGAAUCAUUUAGAAGUUCGCCCUUCGGUCAAUUUCUCGAUUUCAAUUCCGAACAUUUUCACAUGAUAACAUCAGUUAUCACAGAAAUUGUGAGAUGUAGAGUAGGUAGGUUAAAGUAUGGUAUUGGAGGAAGAGUUGUCGAGUUCAAAAUGUCAGAUGUGGCCAUGAUCUUAGGCCCUUUAAAGUUUGGAAAUGUUCCAGUUGAUUUUCUGAUGAGGAAGCCAAAAGACUACACUACAUUCAGGAGCAAGUACUUCGGUACAAACCUUCACAAAAAGGAUGAGCAGAUUUCAAGUGCAAUUACUGAAGCAAGGAGAUUUAUUGUUAAGGGAGAAGCUGAUCCAAACGAUAUUCAUCGUUUGAACAGGUUGUAUUUUCUAUGCAUUUUUCUUCUUGCCGAGUCAUCAAAAAAUUUGAGUGUAAAGUACAUUGAUUUAGCCGAAGAUUUGAAUGCAUUUGAUAAUUUUCCAUGGGGUACUGUUACUUUUCAAUUGCUUGAGACUUCUCUUGAAGAAAUUUAUCCCAAAGUCAUUGAGGAUAAUCCUAGUUAUUGCAUCAAUGGAUGUAUGUUAGCUUUUAUGAUUUGGGCAUACUUGCACUUCCCUGAUUUGGGUCCUAGGAGAGAUAGAAGUGUUGGAUUUCCAUGGAUGCUUGGAUGGUCUGAGUUGCUCAACAGGAACAAAACUAGGAAUAAAAUUUCUUUGAGGCUGUUUCCCAAGAAAGGUAAAUGUACUGUGGCAUAUCCAUUAGAUGUCACCCAGGAAGAAAGAGAUCUUGCUAAUCUACAACAGGUUGCAGAGGUAAAUCCUCUUGAAUUUUGUUUUUAUCUUCUAGAAAAUAAUGAAUCCCCUUUCUGUAUUAAGUUGAUCUGUUAUAUUGUACUAUCUAUUUUCUAGAAUACAACUCUUAUCUGCUACAUUUUAUUUGAAGUUUGAAGCUCAAUACAAAGCAGAACAUGAAGAGUCUGCUUCCUCUAGGCCAUCUGUGCCUACCAUUCCGUCUUAUCACACAUCUUUAACAAGAAGUGGUGGAGGUUCAGAUUUGCUUUCAAUUAACAAGGAUUUUCUUGAGACAAUUCUGAGUGGAGUAGUGAAGGCAUGCAUGACUCAGAAGGUAUGUUGUUUGCUACAACAAAAUUUUCCAUUUUUAUGUAUCUGCUAUAUGAUUCUAUCGUAUAUGCUACUGGCAAGACCUGUUGCUUUACAUAGACAAUAUAUCUGCUACCUAUAAACUGAAAUCUUAAAAUCAUUAAAAAGGAAAGUUUGCAUCUUCAACAACAACACUUUCAUCUUCAAAUCUUUCAAAAUGAUAUCUUCCAUUUGUAUGAUACUUGUUGUAUUAUAUCUGCCACUUGUUAUAUUGAUGAAUUGUAGUGUUAAACUGUGAUAUCGACUACAAUAUCUAUUGUUAAUGUGUUUGUCAAUUACUAUCUGCUAGAAACUUGGCUGUUGUUAACAUAUUUUGUGUUAUAUCUGUUACCUCUAUAAUGUUAUCUGCUACAAUGUUUUGUCCUCAUUUCUGCAGAGUGGUCAGCAACUUGAUGCAAAACAAUUUGUGAGUGAUGCCUUAGGUCAGAUUGGAAAGGGGGCAUCCAAAUCUAGGGCAACAACAGAAAAGAAGUCAAGUACCUCAUCAAAGGCAACACCAAAAGCCAAUCCUAAGACUAACUUGCCAGUUAAAACCAAGAAACCUGGUUCUCACAAACUUUCAAGUCACAGACCUUCACCUCACAAACCUUCACCUCACAAGCCUUCUCCUAAGAAAAAUGCUGCAGCCAAGAAACCCAUUGUUCCAACCCCAAAAGCUAGUGUAUCACCCAAACCAGUUGGGAGAGUGAAACUUCCACCUAAAAAGAAACCCCCUACGACCAAUCCCAACAAGGAUUCAAAAUCUAAGAGUGAUUCAUCAAAGCUUAAACAAAAGAAGAAUAUUCCAAAGCCAACAACAUCACCAACUUCAGUUAGAACUACCAGAAGGAAAUCCUUGGAGGAUAAUGUUACAACAGUUGGUAAAUAUGAGUUAAGAAGAAGGGAACCAACAGAACCAAAAGCUCCUGAAGUUAAGAAGAGGAAAAGAUCAGAUAAAGAAGAUAAGAAGGAAACCAAGAAGGUGAAAGUGGGGGAUAAAGUUGAAGAAGUUCAGAGGGGUAAAAGGGAGGGUAAGAAGGGAAAAAAGAUGGGAAAAAGUGGUGAUGAUGAAGUGAAGGAGGGUGGUGUUUAUGUGAGUGAAGAAAUGAUAGACAUGGAAUUAUUCAAGCCCCCUGAAGUCCUUCUACUUGGCUGGUAUGAGCAAGAAGAGCAAGAAGAUAAUGAUAAUGAUGGAGGUGGAACAAAGAUUCCAGAAAUGGAGGUGAAACAAAGAAAGAGGAAGAAAACAGAAGUUGGAGUUCAGCCUUCAAGGCUACAACCUAAUAGGAAGGUUAAGCAUGAAGCAGAAGAACUGACAUGGAGGAGAGAUAUUAGAAGGAUAAAUGAGGCAAGGAAGAAAAGGGCACUUGAAGCAAGAAAAACACAAUCGGAUGAUGAUGAUGUCCCAAGCUCCAAGAAAGCAAGAAAAUUGAGUUUUUGGGAUGAUGAUGAUAGUAGUGAUCGUGAGAGUUUUGAAGUUGUGGUGAAAAAUUUGAAAGAAGGAGGUAAUCCUCUUGACACAGAGAUGUCAAAGUUGAAACAACUUUCUAUUCUUGCUUCAAUGAAGGUUGAUUCAUCAACCAUAGGUAGUUCAUCAGCUACAUCUGGUCAUCCAUCGGUUACAGAUGUUCGUCCAUCUGCUACAUCAAGUCAACCAUCUUCUUCAGAUGCGCCUCCAUCGGCUACAACAACACCAACAGGAACACCACCAGCAUCUACAACCUCUAAGACUGAAGACUCAAAGGAUGAGUCCACUGAUGAUGAUUAUGAACAAUCUACAGGGGGGGUUGAUGCUAUAACUGAUAUUGUGAUUGACAAGGAGAAAGUUCCAAUAGAUUAUAGACUUGAAACUCCAGAAAUUUCAGCUAGUCCCAACAAAGAUAAAGCCUCCAUUCUUUAUCUUGGUGUCUGUUCAAAUGAUGAUGAUGUUAUCGAAAACUUCGAUCUUCAGUUGUUUAGGGAUAGAAAGAGGCAACAGGAUGCAGAAUACUUGGCCAAAAUGUCACCUGAGGAGGUUGAGAUUGGUCUUAGGUGUGAUGCAAAGAUUCAAGAUAUAAUGAGGGAUCCAUUCUUCACUAGGCAUGUUGAGAAGUGGCAAGCAGAUCUUCUUCAUUAUUUCUGGGGAUUAGCUAAGGAACCUUCGAGGCUUAGGCAGUAUGUGAGGGUUUAUGGUUAUCUUCAAUCAUGCCCUGUGAGUGCUUUCAACACACUCUAUAAAGACAACUGGCUUGAUGAUGAGGUUAUUGAUGUUUAUUUGAGGUUGUUGGUUCGUUGGAUGAUUGGAAGGAGGCCACAAGAUUACAAGGAAGAAGAUCAAUAUGCUGUGGUUCCAAAUGUAUUUCUACAUGUAAGUAUAUUCUUGUGAAUAUUUAUUCUUCCAUGGUUAUGUUCUUGUAAUUCUAUUACAUGUAAGCAAGUUCUUAUUAUUGCUUUCAUCUGUUUAGACCCAAAUCGCCUCUUAUAUGAAGCCUCAGUUUGAUGCUCUAAUGAAGGACAAAAAUUUUGCCAAAAUGAAGCCACAAGAGAGAAUAUUAUCUGGGAGAUUUAGGAUUCCAUCAAAUAUUACUUCUCUUGUUGAUCCAUGGAUAGGCCUCCGCAAUCAAGUACACCCUGUGAAAGCUAAGGCACUUCUUGUUCCUUUACAGGUAUUUGUGUUCAUUUAUACCACCUUAUCUGCUACAUUAGGUACUUAUUAUGGGCUAGAUAAGGAUGAGUAUCUACUACUUCAUAAUAGACACUCUUUUAUCUUCUACAUUUAUCCGCCACAUUGUGAUACACUAUCUGCUAUGUAUUUGUCUGUAUCGUUUAUAAUGUACAUUUCAUCUACCAUAUCUUUUAUAUCUAUUAUUAAAUGUAGGUGGAAAACAAUCAUUGGAUUCUGCUCUCAUUUAGUUUCAGUGAGAGUAUAGUUAGGAUCUAUGAUUCGUUGGGCUACAAAAGGGCAACUAAUGAACAGAGAAACAUGGAGAAGAUGUUGCCCUAUGCUAUUUAUGCUGCAGACCCAUCUCAGAUUCAACUUGAUUUGGAAAGGAAGUGGAAGCGUGAGUAUGUAUCCUGUGUUACACAACCAGACUUUUGUACCUGUGGGGCAUUCCUUCUUGCAUUCGUCGAAUGUGUCCUUCGAGGAAUACCACCGGAAUUUGAGGCAGAUCCUUUGCAGAUGCGCUACCGCAUUGCUAGAGACCUAAUUGAUUGUGGAGAGCUACCACCAAAGAGAAAGACCUGAUUUAUCUUCUAUUGACAUGUUUUGUGAAGACUUGUAUAUUUCUUGUUUUGUAUUCUGAAUUUCUUGUAUUCAUCAACUUAUGAUCCUUUUAACUUAUAGUAUAUUGGAUUACCCUCUUCUUAACUCUGUUGAACAUGUUAGUACGGAUUCUGAGAUUUUACAUAGCAAAAGAUAGACUGCUCUUAGUAGCAGAUAAUAUGUGAAGUCUAAACUGUGUACAUAGCAAAAGAUAGCAAAAGUGUAUACAUAGCCAAAUAUUCUUCCCCCUACUAUGCUGUUUGAUUGAGAGGAGAGAGAGGAUGUCCUUCUCCAAACUGCAUUGGAGUGAAAAGAUCAUAGUCAUCUAUGAAUUUAGUGCAAGUUUUUUUGUUGUGACCUCUCCGUUUACACCUUGAGCAUCUCCUACUCUGGACUGGGACACCUUCAGCUUUACCUCUCUUCCUGACCACUUUAGGUCGACCUGGCAUGCAAACUUUAAGUGGUGGCAAUAUUUUUCUUGUCGGUCGUGCAGUUGGCCAUGACUCCUUCCUAGGAGUGGGAAUCCAUUCUUCCUUGUACGUUUCCAUGUAUGUUUCUUUCAAGAAAAAAACAUCAACAAACUUGUAUGGAUCAUGGCCUGCAUCCUUUAUGGCUGCCAUGGCAUGGGCACAUGGGAUCCCCAUAUGCUGAAACCAUUUGCAUGUACAUGUUCUCUUGUUAAGAUCGACUACACAUGACCUAACCAGCCCUGUAACCGUCCAAAUUCCUGCUGAAACUCUUUCGACUGUGCAUAUUCUUGCUGUGGAAGCAUUGUGAAUUAUUAGCUCUUGACACCAUGUUGUAACUGGUGAGUUGAACUUCAGGGAGUCAUUGUGGUAAUCGCGAUAAUGCCUAAUCACAUUGUCUCUUAUCAUUGACAAAACAGUAGUAACUGGCAUCAUUCUCUCCCCAACAAUCAUUUUGUUCCAGGACUCCACGUGAUUUGUGGACACAAUGCCAUACCUGCAACACAUAAUCAAAGGAUAAAGUAGGCGAUAUAUGACAACGUCAGGGCGAUAUAACGGCAUAUGUAGAGAAUAGAAACGACACAAUAGCCGAUAUAUAUUUAUAUUGACUGACCUUGAUUUUUCUUGAAACGCACUUGCCCAUUUUUCUACAGGACCAACAUCCAUAAGUUUUUCAUGCGCCUUGCUUGACAUAAACCAGAUUCUAAGCAUCAUUCCCCAAAAUUCAUCUUGGUUGAGAGUUUUUGCACCUUCUUGGACCAUGAACUUGAUUUCUUGUUACCAAACUUGCCACUCAAGUGAUAAGAACAGUACAUAUGGAUAGCCUUUGGCAAGAUUUUAGGGACACCCUGGAUGAUACUUUUGUGCCUAUCAGAUAACAAAAUAAACUCAUGAUCCUCUCCAACAACAUGGUCCCUUAACUUUGUGAAAAACCAGUCCCAACUUUCAUUUUUCUCUUUCAUAACAAUUGCGAAAGCGAUGGGGAAGAUAUGGUUGUUGCCAUCAACUGCAAUUGCUGUAAGAAUUGUGCCAGGGUAUCUUCCCUUAAGAAAAGUUCCAUCAACCAAGAUUAUGGGACGUAGAGUCCUCUUGUAAGCUCUAAUUGUAAUACCAUAUGUCCAAAAUAUGCAUUCAAAAUUACCCAAUGGAUUGGUAAGAAUGUCUGUUACUGCAUUUGGAUCCACCUUCUUUAGCUCAUUACAGUAUGUUUCAAGCAUUUGGUAUGAGUGGCUGUAGCUUCCUCUUAUCUGUAAAUAAAUAAACAGUUAAGCUCUUUGAAGACGAUAUAGUACAAACUAUAGACGAUUGUAAUGACUCUGUAACAGAUAGAUUCGUCUUUCUAAGGGAUAGAUUUAAUUUACCUUCCUCAUUGCCUUCUCUUUAGCUAACCAUGCAACUUUGUAAGAAAUUUUGACCAUGUAUUCUUCAUUGAUUGCACUCACCAAUUUUAGGGGUGGCAAGUCUGGGUUGUCCCUCAACCUUCUCAUACAAACUCUUGAAACCCAAUCACUGUUUGUUUGGCGGUUUUUACUUCCAACCCUAAAGUUACCGCACGAGUGGUCAUCUAUAAGUGUUUUUAUAAUCCAACUUCCAUCAAAACCAUUUGGGGUUGCAUACAGAUACCAUUUGCACCCACCAGCUGGACACCUAAAAAUCAUCCUCCUACUGUUUGUGUUUACACGUUUUAGAUCUUUUUCCAUUUUGAUCGCGUAUGUUUGGACAUCCCUUUCAAGCUCAUCACGAUUGUUGUAGAUUACUCCUCGUUUAGGUUGCACAUAGUCGUUGUGUGCAGGCUCUGUGUGAGGUGCACAACCUACGUUUGCCCUUUUAGUCGCAAUAUAAGAGGAAAAAAUAUUGUUAAGUUCGCGUUUUACCUGAUCGAAAUCACGAUUUUCCUCAACCCUAGUAUUAUGUUGCAGUGGUACAUUGCUAGGAAAAGGCACAUUGUUCUGAGGAGGCACAUUAUUGGUUUGUGACGGCAUAUCGUGGCUGAUUGUUGUCCAUAUCGUCUAGAUUGACAAACCUAUCGGCUAGAUUGCACCUGACUCCCUCUUUCCUUUCAUUCACAUCGGCCACAUUGUCACCUUGCUGCGUGUCUGCGUUAUCACCAACAUUUGGGCUGCCUUCUUCGGAGAUUGGUCUAGAAGGACCAAACAUUGGUUGACUAUCAUCCCACAUUUGAUCCUCGAGCUCAUCUUCAGUAUUCCAAGAUGCAGGUGAGUCGAAAACUUCUGGAUCUGUAUCCCAAUGGUAUUCCUCACACUUAGGAGAUUGAGAGUCCUCCUCACUAUCAUCAUCUAUUAAUGUCGGUUGUAUCUUCUGUGCAGAUUGAAGAACAACAUCAACUUCUUGUAAUGAAAGUGAAUCCCAAAAACCAUCAUCUUUUUGCAUGGCAGAAAGAAUUCCAGCUGCAUCCAUGAAACCUUUGCUUUUUACGGAUAGGGGUGUACAAGUAGUUUCUGAUAAUGGAUUGGUAGCAGAUGUGGGAGUAUGUUGGAUUGGAGGUUUAGGAAUAUAGACACCACUAGGUGGAGGGGUUUCUAAAACUACAGGGUCAUUUGUAUGCCCCAUUCCCUUGACUAUCAUAUCAGCACUUGGAUCUUGAGUAGGAGUCUCCAACCUAUAUUCAUCUGGAACAUUAAGAGGUUUGGUGGGUGUAUGAUAAGUAGAGUAAUCGGGUUUACUUUUUGAAGCCUUCUUUUGUAACUGCAUUGGUGGUAUCUUCCUCUCUUCACUCAAAGGUGUAUAAGAAGGAAUAGCUUCCGGAAAAAGCUUUCUUUUCCCUUUGCUUUUGGGAGCCUCAUUUUGUAACACAAAUGGUAUCUCCUUCUCUUCACUCCUUGCUAUUUCAGGCACAAUCUUUAGUAUAGGUGGUUUUCUAUGAUCAACAAUCCAAACAGAUAUGCACAUUGCAGCUGAAUUGUAUAUGGAAGCUAACAUUGCCUUAUAAUGAUCUUCACAUUCAAGUUUGGAUACCCUAAGGUUGACUACUGCUCGAAGUGACCAUGUUCCUUUUGGAGGAUUGCAUAAGGAAGAUACCUUUUUGAGGAAGUCUGUAUAGGUCGUCUGAAUAUCAACAAUCCUUAUUCUUGACUCUCCAUCCACAUAUCCAACCUCUUCCCCCUCAGCUGUGACCUCCAACAGACCACCAAAUCGAUAAAUUACAUUGAAAGUAUUCGCUGAAAGUAUCCACAUGUUAAUAAUGUUGAUUAGUAUCACAGUGUUAUAGUAGUUAUUCAAAGUGUUUCAUGCAUUCUAAAAUGUAUCUGCUACAUGCUUCUAUCGUAUCUGCUACUGGCAAGAACUGUUGGUUUACAUAGCCAAUCUAUCUGCUACCUACAAACUGAAAUCUUAAAAUCUUUAAAAAUGAAAGUUUGCAUCUUUAAACCAAAUUGCAUGUUCAACAACAAGGUUUGCAUCUAGAACAAACAUAGAAAUCAAAUCAAUUCAACAGCAAAGUUUGCAUCUUGCAUCUUGGCCCGGCCAACUUUAAAAAUCAAUUAAAAUCUUUCAAAAUCAAAGCUUUCAUCUUCAAAUACAAAAUCAAACCUUUUCAAAUGAACAAAUACAAACUAACUUAAACAAUACCAAGGGUUACCAAACUGAAACCGGAAUUUAAUGCGAAUUUAAUUCGAAAACAGUAUGAAAUUGAAUAGCAAGCCCUCUUAAAUAUCAAUCAUUACAUUAAGGCUUUGGGUUUAAAUGCAUACCAGGUAUGGGUAUUUCCUCGAGAACAUUAACUUUCUUCUUGGUUGUCUUUUGUUUCCCCAUUAAAGCAGUACCAAAGUGUCAAAAUGUUGGUGAUGGUACCACGGAAAAACCGAAAUUGUAGGUGAUAAUAACACAACAACCUAACAACUAAGUGAUAGAUUAAAACCUUGGAAUAGAAAAACUUUUUUAUAUAAUAGCAGAUGAAGAACAACAGAAAAAUCAGUGAAGAAGAAGAAGAAGAUGAAAAAGCAUUCAAACUUUGUUGGUGAUGGACGGUUGAGAUGAAAAAAGGAGAUCUAACGGAUAGUGUUGGUUUGCAUGUCAUAUCAUGUUUAAUGUUGAAGUACGUAGGAGAGAGAAUGAUGGUGAUGUUUAAAAGUUAUGUACUUAAGAGAGAGAAUGUGUAAGAAGGGUAGAAAAGGAAACAAAAGAUUUUUUGUGCUUGUUUGGGAAAGAGUUUAGACUUGUUGCUUAUUUGGGAAUGUUGUGCAUAAUGUUGUACUUAUUCGGGAAAUUACCCUAGUUUUUAUGGGGAAUAAUUCCAGUUGUAAAGUUUGUGGAAUUGGUACGGUAAAGUUGAAGAUGCAUGAUGGAAUUGUUAGGACUCUGGGUAACGUGAAAUACGUUCCUGUACUAAGGAAGAAUCUUAUUUCCCUGGGUUAUUUGGAUAAGAAUGGGUACACAUACAAAUCCAAAGAUGGGAAUCUCAUAGUCUCAAAGGGUUCACUUGUGGUUAUGAGAGGAGUAAGACUUUCUAACAAUUUAUAUAAGCUUUUAGGAAAUACAGUAAUUGGUGGAGCUGCAGUUUCUACACAAGAAGAUCACACUCAGCUUUGGCACUUGAGGCUAGGGCAUAUGAGUGAAAGAGCCAUGGAAGAACUACACAAGCGACAAUUGUUGAAGGGUGUAGGAGAGUAUAAACUUGAGUUCUGCAAGUAUUGUAUUAUGGGAAAACAAACUAAAGUACACUUCAAAGCUGCAGAUACAAAGAACAGAAGUACAAAAGUAUUUAACUAUAUUCACUCAGAUGUGUGGGGGCCUUCACCUACUCAAUCAAAAGGUGGAGCUCGCUACUUUGUCACUUUCAUGGAUGAUUUUUCGAGGAAAGUUGGGUCUACUUCAUGAAGGAGAAAUCCGAAGUUUUCACUAAAUUCAAGGAGUGGAAGGCAGAGGUAGAGAAUCAAACAGGCAAAAAAAUCAAGUAUCUAAGAACUGACAAUGGCGGUGAAUAUAAGGAUAGGAAGUUUCUACAGUACUGCAAAAAUGAAGGUAUUGCAAGGCAUUUUACCGUGAAGAAGAAUCCCCAACAGAAUGGAGCUGCAGAAAGGAUGAAUAGAACUCUUAUGAAUAAAGAGAGGUGCAUGAGGUUUCAUGCAGGUCUGCCAGAGAUGUUUUGGGCAGAGUCACUUAACCAUGCUUGUCACUUGGUUAAUCGUUCACCAUCCAAGAUGCUUGAUUUCAGAUGUGCAGAAGAGGUAUGGUCAGGUAAACCGGUAGACUACUCUACUUUGAAGGUAUUUGGAUAUAGCGCAUAUGCUCUUAUUCCUAGUGAUGAGAGAACUAAACUUAAACCCAAAUCUCAUGAAUGCAUUUUCAUCGGCGUCGAGAAGGGAGUGAAGGGUUAUAAGUUAUGGGAUCCAGUGAACCGAAAGAAAAUCCUUAGUAGAGAUGUUGUGUUUGAUGAAAAGACUAUGCCUAUGAAUCAAGACAUGAAGAAUGGUGAGAAAAACACUAUUGUUACGAAAGCAACUACAGAGAUAUCUCCUCUUACCAAGGUAUCCAACGGGAAGACUCCUAUUCAGGUGGAGGAGUCAGAUGCAGAGGUUGAAGAGGAUGGGCCAGAACAACAACAGUGUGAAAAGGAGGUUGAAUCUAAUAAAGAUAAGCAACAACCUUACAGCAUAGCAAAGAACCGGGGCCAAAGACAAGUCAAACCACCUAUUAGACUUGGGUUCGAGGAAGAAGUUCAUUAUGCUUUAAGCAUUAGUGAAGGUGAUCCUACUUCUUAUCGUGAAGUAGUUGAAAGUAACGAAAGAGAAGAGUGGAUUGAAGCUAUGGCUGAAGAGAUGGAAUCUCUAUACAAGAACUCUGUUUGGGAGUUGGUUCCUAAACCUGUAGAAAGAAAAAUUGUUGGCUGUAAGUGGGUUUACAGGAAGAAUGAAGGAAUGCAUGCAAAAGAACCACCAAAGUUCAAAGCACGUUUGGUGGCGAAGGGGUACUCACAGAAGGAAGGCGUUGAUUAUGAUGAAAUUUUCUCUCCGGUAGUGAAACAUACUUCUAUUAGAGUGUUACUAUCACUGGUUGCUCAGCAGGAUAUGGAGCUUGAGCAGUUAGAUGUCAAAACUGCUUUUCUCCAUGGUGAAUUAGAGGAAGUCAUCUACAUGGCUCAGCCUCAGGGUUUUGUUGAAGCUCGUAAGGAAAAUCUGGUUUACUCUUUACGGGCUCAAGCAAUCUUCAAGACAGUGGUACAAACGUUUCGACUCUUAUAUGCUGAACAUUGGGUAUAGAAGAUGUGACUAUGAUUGUUGUGUGUACACUCAUGUGUUUGAUGAUGGGAUGGUGAUCCUAUUGCUACUUUAUGUAGAUGACAUUCUUAUUGCUUGUCGGGAUAUGUCUAGAAUUAAGGAGCUGAAGACGUUGUUAAGCAAGGAAUUCGACAUGAAGGAUCUUGGUCCUGCACAGAAGAUCCUAGGUAUGGAGAUAAGGAGAGACAGGAAAGCUGGAAAGAUAUGGCUGUCACAAGUCAAGUACAUUCAAAAGGUACUUGAGCGCUUCAAUAUGAUUGAUGCAGAUCCUGUGUCAACUCCUUUGAACAACAGUUUUGUUUUAAACAAAAGUCAAUAUCCUUCCACAGAUGCUGAGGUGGAAGAGAUGAAGAAGAAGCCGUAUGCAAGCGCAGUAGGGUGUCUCAUGUACGCAAUGGUAUGCACAAGACCUGAUUUAGCUCAAGCACUAAGUGUAGUAUCGAGAUACAUGGCGAAUCCAGGAAAGCCACACUGGAAAACUGUGACAUGGAUUCUCAAGUAUCUGAAGGGCACCAAGACGUUAGGUAUCUUGUUUGAAAGACAACAAGGGAAAGCAUGUGUUUCGGGUUAUGUGGAUGCUGAUUAUGCAGGAGAUUUAGAUAAACGAAGAUCCACCACAGGGUACGUCUUCACUUAUGAUGGAGGACCGGUUAGUUGGAGAUCAAUGCUCCAAACGGUUACUGCUUUAUCAACUACUGAGGCGGAGUAUAUGGCAGUAACAGAAGCUUGCAAGGAAGCUAUUUGGCUGAAGGGAUUAGUAAGCACAUUCGGGUUAGAUCAAAAUUCUAUGAUGAUAAGAUGUGACAGUCAGAGUGCUAUUUGCCUUGCGAAGAAUCAAAUGUUUCAUGCAAGAACGAAACAUAUUGAUAUUCGCUAUCAUCGGAUUCAGGAUUGGUUGGACUCAGGUGAAAUUACAGUUGAGAAGGUUCACACAGAUGAGAAUGCUUCAGAUUGUCUUACUAAGUCGGUUUCAGUUGAGAAGUUCAGACAUUGUUUGAACUUGCUCAAUCUUUCUACAUGCUAAAGAUUGGGUGGAACGCCUCCUCACUUGAGGUGUGUUGAGGCAAGAGGAUUCUUGCCAAUGUGACGAUGCUUGAAGAAAUUCAAGCUGCAAUGAUCUUGUUUUUUGGUCGAUGGCUCGCCAAGGUGGAGAUUGUUGUAUAUUGGCUCGCCAUAGUUGGGUGCACAGGAUCAUACCUUAUAAGAGGUGUGAUCCAUAAGAUCAGUUUCCUAUAUUGGUUAAGGAAACCAUAUAUGUGCAGGAGUUCUAUUUGGACUCGGUUUCCUAUUUAUCUCUAGUUUGAAUUAGUAAUUCUAUAUGGAUUUGAUUUCUAUCCAUGGGCUAUAAAUACCCAAGUAACUUGGUAUUUGUAAGACAAGAAAACAAGAGAAGACAAGAGAGUAGAAAACAAUAGAAACAUAGAGAUAGAUAGAGUAAGUGAGAGGGAACUUUGGGAGCCAAGGGUGUAUUGGGUUUAAGGUGAGAGAUUAAGAUCUAGAGAAUUGUAAUCGGUGUUUCUUUUCUUAUAGUGAAAUCUUCUCAUUGUUCCCCGUGGAGGUAGGCAUUGCCGAACCACGUAUAUCUUGGUGUUAUUGUUCUUUAUUAUUUUAUUCUUCUUAUACUAUUGUUUAUUGUUUGGUAAUCUUUGACUUCAUUGACAAAACGGAUCCUGUAUUGCAAAGGAGAUGUUCUCACGAAUAUCUAGGUUGCGGGUUGUUGGCGUUGUUAGGAUUUAAUUAAUCACUGCAUAUAGUCCAACAUAGCAUAGGGUAGUAGGUUCCAUAGUUUACUUCCCAAUCCAUCAGUUCUUCGCGUUGGCCAUCUCCCAAAGAAAUCCUGAACUGUAUUCACAUUUGUAUGCAUAUCUAUAUAGUCCACAACACCAUCAGUUAACUCAAUCCAUAUAAAUUUGGAUACCUCACAAUGGAAUAGCAGGUGCAUGACAGUCUCUUCAUGUCGCUUGCAUAAAAUGCACUCAGUAUUUUUGUCCAUGCCUCUUUGAUGUAACUGAGACCUUGUCAGAAUCUUUUCAUGUAUUGCUCCCCACAUGAAUAUCUUAAUCUUGGAAGGAAUGUCCUCAUGCCAGACAAGGUUACAUGGGAAGGUUGACAGCUGCAGGUUAUGGGCUUUGUGUGUGGUAGUCUCAAUGACAGUAUACAUGUUUCUAACUGUGAACAUACCUUACUCUCAGACCAUCUACAACCGUCAGGUUCUUUAGCAUCUGGGCUCUGAACUCUGAGUAAAUCCAGCAGUAGAUUGUGUUCUGCAGUUUUCCCAGUCCCUUGGCUCAUGUCUGAGAUGUAGGUUUUAGGUGAUACUGUCAUCUCCAUGGGUCAUGUGGUCGGCUAAAAAUCAUACUCCAUAGCAAAUCUGUAUAUGUUAGGAUAUCUCACAGCAAGUAUGUGUUCCACUGCCCAUUCACGAUGCCAAAAUAUAAUUUUGUCUUCUUUUCCAGCUCUGGACAGUAUCUUCCCUUGGAAAGCCUGCAGUUGAGCGAUGAUGCCUCGCCACAAAGCACAUCCAUGUGGCCGAGAUGUGGACCUUGGCCAACUCCCUUUCGUGUCUAUGCCAUACUUUGAUACAUCUUCCUCCAUAGUGCAUUCUCCUCCUCGUGAAAUCUCCAAAUCCACUUGCUUAGAAGAGCUUUAUUGAAGCUUUUGAUUCUUCUAAUACCAAGACCUCCUUCGGACAUUGGAGAGGAUACUUUCAAUAUUACAGUUGGAAUGUUGUGACACCACAUGCUAUGAGGUGCCUAAAAACUAACUGAAACUCAAACGAAAACAUCAAUAAUAGAUAGUUGAUAAUGUACAUAGGCUUUAUAAAGUAAUCCACAGUUCCAUAUCAAUUUUGAUUGCAAGAUACAUACAGUUUACCAUGUACAGCGACCUUAAAAAGUAAUCCACAAUUUCAAUUGCAAGAAACACAUAAUAUACCACGUACAAAGACUUUAUAAGACUCAUCUCAAUCAAGCCUAUUUCUAGCAGACAGUCAUCUCAUAAAUCACGUACACAGACCUUAUAAGGCUCAUCUCAAUCAAGUCUAUUUCUAUCAGACAGUCAUCUGACAAAUGAAAAGCUCAUUAUACAUAGUAACUUGAGCACUGACCAGCAACAUUUGAAAAAAGCCUGCGAAAGGUGAUUUAUUUAAUCCUUCACACUGAAGAAUGAGAAAACUGCCUAUCCUGACUAAAGUUUUGGCUUCGUUUUGCGCAAAUAGUUGAAGAGUUACGCAUGCUUUCUCGGACAUAUAUUAAAUUACAAUGUUAGUUUCGAAUUUUUUAUGUAGAAAUCCACGUACUUGAUUGAACUCUUUGUAUGUUACUUCAGAUGGCCUCAUCACUAGUUACAUGUACACUAUGGUACUAGCAGGACACUUAUACAAGAGUCAGUCUAUUGGGACCAAUGGCUGAAGAAAGACAAAGGGCAGAAUCCAACUAAAAUCACUUUAGAACUAAAGCUUCAUACUGAAUCAUGAAAAAUAGCUAAAAAUACCUCUAUCUUGGAAGAAAAAUUUAGAGAACUAAGCCAACAGUGAAUAGCGUACACUAAGUAGAUAGUAAUACACAGUAAAUAUUGCAAUAAGUUAUACCUUAUGUCCACCAUUAAAUUUCCAAAAUAGCCGGGCUACUCCAAAAGACAAGAGUAAACAGCAACAUUCUCUACAUGUUUCAACUUUGACAAGUUCUCUGGAAUCUACAACAAAACAUUUUUUUUUAUCCAUGGCUCUUACAGGAUAGAACAACUAGAAGGCAUUGUUUAUGAAUCCUACAAUAUCAGAUGCAUCAGCCUGAAUCAGUAAAAUUCCAGCAAUUCUAUCUCCACGCCAACAGAGGGCAAUACUUUCAGACAAGCAGAAGCUGGACUUGCCUGCGAUCUACAGAAAGAAACAUAACAAAGUUAUCUAUUUGGCAAAAUCUGAUUCUCAAAACUUGAGUACACACUACACCCACAUUAUUAUGUCAAUUACAUGAUUAUUUGAAUGAAAACUAAUCCUCAAAAGCAUUAUGUGAACGAGAAAAAGAUAGGAAAAGAAGCUUGAGUACACACUACACAUAAUCCUCAAAAGCUUGAGUACACACUACACAUCUAAUACUACCAGCUUUUAAAUGGUAAGGUAUUUAAGCAUGUUCGUCAGAAUUCAGGUUGUGAAAGCAGUAUUUACAACAUUAACCAACUAUCCCAACUAGUACAUAUAGGAAAUGAUGCACGUACAGAAGGAUAGUUUAAACGAAGGACGAUGUAUUGCUUUAUCAAAGGAUUUCAUACAUUGAUGAUCAGAUGCAACAUUCACACGCUGCAAAUCCUUUCACAGGUGUUCUCCAGCACCACUAAACACAGCAGCCGACUAUGAAUGGAGCCCUAAAAGAACCUUUAGAGGAUACCCAAGUACCAAAACCAUAUAUUACUGCUAACCCAACACGACCACUAACCUGUGAAAAACAUGUGUGAAUGUGUUCAGCACAUGUGUAGCAGUGUAGGUUAAAAGUUUUUCAUGUCAAGAGAAACACAAAAAAAGGAGGUAAGAAGUGAAGUAUCCAUCAGCUUGAAUGCAAUACCACCACUUGAAAACCCUGAUGCUACGUUUCCUUCAGAGUCAACACAGAUGACUCGAACAGUGUACGUCCAUUACAUGAUCCUCGUUGGAAGCAUCAAGCAGUAGUGGUAAAUUGCUACUGGUGCAGGUCUUCUUAGAAGAGGUACCCUCUGGAGAAUCUACUUGUGUUCAAAGAAGGAGAAUGCAAUUAUGAAUUAUCAGAAUAAAGUUGAAGUGUUAAUGUAAAUUCCAAUCAUAUCAGUAAAAAAAAAAAAAAAAAAAAUGGGCAGAAAAAUCAAAUCUAUAUUAAAGUUUAAGAUGCCAUCGGUCAUCUGUGCCAAUAGAACUUCUUUACAAUUACCACAGAACUAAAAUCAUACUAUCAGUUUCCAUAGUUAUUUAGGUAUAGAAAAUUUAAGACAAACAUGGUAUAUGUAAUAAUUAAUUUUCAUAGUUUAAAUAACAACAAAUGUUGUAUUAUUGUAGUUGCAGACUUGUGGGCAGAGAGCAGCGAAGAGUUGCAAACUUGAUCGAAACAAUUUGGUUCAGAAGAGUUCCGAUGAAUUGUCAAAUAAUAGAACUAAUAAAAGUAAUAUUAGUAGACUAUAGGGAUAAGAUUGGAAACGAGAUUGUAAGUGCUUGUUUUACUUUUUUGCCCUUGGAUGCUGCUCUUUAUAUUAAAAGGAGAAUAAGGACGCUUAAGGAAUUACAGGAGAUAAAAACCAAUCUUCUCUGCAAUUUUUUUUCCUUUCUUUCUUCACCAUUAACUUUGGUGCUGCUGCGUUUCUCAAUCUUCAUAACUCUCCCUUUUCUUCUUCUUUAAUUGCUAUUAAUUUCUUGUUGAUUUGCCAACAUGAGUGAUUGAGUAGUUAGAGAGAGCGUUGUUGGAGUUGUGCGAUUAAUGAAGAAUUCAGAAUCUCCAUCAACUUAGAUAACAUAAAUAGGAGCUUGAAGAAUUGAAAAAGGUAAAGAAUUUUUUAUUCAAUUGAUGGUUUCGUAAUGUGUUGUACCUUUUUAGCCAAUUGAUGUUUUCGUAAUGUUCUAGUUGUUAAUUUAGCAAAAAAUUACACUUUUCUAAAGUUAAUAAUUAAAUAAAGAUUUGAUUUUUAUCUGUGGAUUGAUUUUUCAUUCAGACUUAUAAUUAGAAAGCAAUUUUGAAUAAAAGGAAUUUGCAAAUAGAAAAUCACAAUUAGAAUUUGAACAACUCUUUCAACUUAGAGUACUAUUUAAAGGCCAAAAGCCAAAGUUUGUAAGAUACAAAUUGGUAAUAUUAAAAUUCAGUUUCCAACUCUUUGUUGUUUGCAGGUUUCAACAAACCUUUCAGCUAUUGGUUCAAUCAUCAUCCUCACCUGUAGGUAUACUAUACUAUUCAUAAGGCUCCAAUGUCCUCUGGUAUGUGGGUAUAAGUUUCAAGUCGUCUUUCUUUCUGUUUCUCCGGGUUGAGCAAAUAUGAAAAAGUGUUGUUCUAAUCAGAAUCCAGAUAGGAUUAGCUAUUUGCCGGACCCAGUACGAAGUCACAUUGUUUCCUUCCUUCCAAUGAGAGAUGCAAUCAGAACUAGCAUUCUUUCAAAGCAAUGGAGACACAUAUAUUAUUCUCUUUCCCGUUUGGAAUUCGAUCAAUAUGAUUUCACUAAGAUAAAACACAAGGCAGCUGAUUUUCGAGAUUUUGUGGAUAGGAUUGUCAUUUGUCACGACGGGUCUGAUAUACAAAAGUUUAGUCUAAAGACUAGACUUGAUGAUGAAUUUAUAUCUUCCUCUCGUGUUAGAACGUGGGUCUCUUUUGCUCUACAACAUAAUGUCCAAGAGUUGGAAAUGUGGAUGUACUAUGGAAAAAUUACAAACCUUCCUUUUCGAUUUUUUACUUGCAUGACCUUAAGGGUAUUGAGUUUAGUUUGUGUUGAAAUUGAAUGGCCCACAACUGUUAGAUUUCCUGUGCUCAAAUAUUUAUAUGUUGAAGGUCUUUCUUUUGUUCAAUAUGAAAACACAAUUGACAAACUCUUCUCAAGUUGUACUUGUCCUAUGCUUGAAGAUUUGGUACUACGACAAUGCGACCUAGGUGUUUCCACCCUUUCCAUCUGUAAUCCUAGUCUUAAAUAUUUGCAAAUAUUUGAUGGUAAUCAACUUAAUAUCAACAUAUCCGUCUCAACUCUUCAUAAACUUGAGUGUAUCUGGUGUCUACCACCAAAUAUAAGUUCUGAGACCUUAUCAUCUCUCUCUGAUGCUUACUUUGAGCUUUCUGAUAGCGAUUUACGUGGCACUGCCGUUGUUGCUUCACAGUUUAAUUCUGUGAGCAAGAUUUUGUUAGGGUUGCACAAUGUGAAGACACUGGAGUUGGAUAGUACCUUUAUUGAGGUAUGAUAAUUUUCUUCAAUUAAUGGUUUUUCUUUAUAAUGUAUGAAAGUUCGCAUUGCUUCGAAAGCACUUACGAUUGUAAUAUUGUAUGUUUUCAGUUUCUCUCCAGGGGUCGAGAUUUAUUACCAGCAUCUUUGCCUUUAUCCUGUUGCAGUCUAAAACAUUUGUCCCUCGGACUGUUGUUCCGGAGCAGUAUUCAUAUCCAAGUGAUAAAAUUAUUAUUAAGAAGUUACCCUCACCUAGAAACUUUGGUGAUUACCGUGGAACGUGAGGUAGUGUUAGAACGUUUUGUUAACAAGUAACUAUAGUUGUAAUCGUAAAUUUCUUUAAUUUCUUAUGAAAAAUAUUAAGAUGUUUAACUUGUGAAGUUCUCACCAUUCAUGUAGGAAUAUGACUGGCACUUGGAAGCAUCAACAUCCAUGAACCUAACUGGCAUGGAAGACCAUUCACAGUUGAAAAAGUUGGCUCCAGGAGAUACGUUGGACCGCCUGAGAAUGCUUGAGGUCAGAGAGUUUGAAGGAAGUGACAGUGAAAUAGAACUCGUGAGAUACCUACUUGAGAAUGCCAACUUUCUGGAGAAAAUGAAUCUCAGCAAAGCUCAUAAUCAGCAAAGUGCAGAGAGCCAAAUGAAGGAAAGUGAGAUGAUGUUGGCAUUUGCGAAGGUAGCUCCCCGUGUGAAAAUAUCUCUUUCUUAAACCAUUUCGAUGGGAAUAGGCAACACAUCUUCUAUAUGGUUCAUUGUUCAUCUUUUCACUUUUUAUUCAGUAUUAAAUGUUCAGUUGAUUAACUUAGAUGGACUGGAAAAUAUAUUAGUGAAUCCAAAUAAUUGUGAAGUGAUUUUAUGUUUUGCUGUAAACUUUUGGUGAAGCACUUGCGUUGGUUUUUGCUGAUGUGUUGUAACACUAUUGUACUGUCAAUCUAGUGUUUCCUGACGCUAUUGUAAUGUCAUGUCAAUUACCAUCAACCAAACUUAAACAACAAAUAGAGGUGAAGAAAGUAGCUAUGGACAGGGUGAUGUAAAUUUUAUGUUCUAAGCAUCAGCAUCAGCAUCAGCAAGCUUGUUCUGACUCUCUGUAAAUGUGCUUGAAUUGUUUUAUAGAAAAUAUGAUGUCGUAGGAUAAUCUUGACUACCAAUGUUUCGAACCCUUCCAAAGUUCCAAUUCUGGAAGUUCAAAGUUCCAACCCCGAUCAAUUAACCGAGCAGCAUGGUUUACAGCAGCAGCACAAAUUAAGGCCUGCACACCUUCGGGAAGCUGCUUAUAUGAAGGUCUGUCUCCAUGGGUUUUUAUGACCUGACAGUACCAAAGUACGUUGAUCAGGGGUGUAGGUGCAGUAUGGUUAAUACAUUACUACAUUUUAUAACACAAAAGAAAAAAAUUGAAUCCAAAACUUAUCACUUUCCAUAUGAUAUACUAUCAAAUUUUGAAGUACACACUUGUCAAUAACUGCCUAUAUGUAGAAAAGAGAUUACUUAUAAUUAUUGUUACCAACUUACCACCGAUCAAUGACUACCCCUCGUUUGAAAAAGAUUUUGGCGCUUUGGUCUUAUUUUUAAUUUUCCAAAGGGCAAUAGUUCUAACAAAACAUCGUCUUGUAUCCUUAUCAAUUCAUGACAUUGUAGCUACCAUUUUGUCUAUAUCUUGCUAAAGACGAUCGACGUCAUAAAUUCAGUCCACAAAAACUAAACAUCAUAUGAGUUCCAGCUUUUAGAGAGAAGGGUCCUAAAUAUCCAUUAUCAUAGGGUUCUUAGAUGUUCUUUAAUUAGUUCCAUGCAAAAAGAAAAAAAAAAUCCCCAAGAAUAAAUUCAGUAAAGAGAUCGAGAAACCACAGACACAACUUUAUAAGAAAACGCAUUUGAAAUCAUGAAAUUUUCUGUCCCUAGGCUGAGGUGGUAACACUAUCCAUGUUGCAGAAUCAAACUUAAGACUGAGCUGAGACAGAGGCCUAGCAUUACAUAGGAUGGAGAAGAGUUCCAAGUUUUAACUAGCGCGCUGAUCCUUACUCCACUUGUGUCUGCUAGGGAGAAAUGGAGAAUAGUGCUUAUUGUUAAGCCAAGUCAAGAUAACAACCCCAAGGUUGUUACAUGACUAAUCCAAGUUCUGUUGAAGUGAUAAGAUUGUUCAAGUGAUAAGAUUGACUCCAGUCAAACCAAAAUCAAAACUGAUUAUUCUUUGUAACUUAUCUUAUCUAUCUAUCUAUCUAUCUAUCUAUCUAUAUAAUAGUUAGACCCAAUGGGUCCCACACUCUCUCUCCUAUGUGGCAUUCUAUAUGAUCAUCAAGCUCUCACAAAUUUUCUCCCAUAAAAUAAAUAAAUAAAUAAAUAAAUUAUACUAAUUAUAUCUAUAACUAAAUUUUGUAUUUCUCUACAUUUUUUUUCUUUUUCCACUAAACCUAAAAAAUCUCUACCCACUUUCUCUACUCCCCAAUGGGUCCCACACUCUCUCUCCUAUGUGGCAUUCUAUAUGAUCAUCAAGCUCUCACAGAUUUUCUCCCAUAAAAUAAAUAAAUAAAAAAAAAAUUAUACUAAUUAGUUCUAUAACUAAAUUUUGUAUUUCUCUACAUUUUUUUUCUUUUUCCACUAAACCUAAAAAAUCUCUACCCACUUUCUCUACUCUCCUAAUUAAGUAUAAAUACAAAUAUUUCAAUAAAAAUAAAAUUAAAACAACAAAUAUACUCAAAACACAAAUUAAUCAAAUAUAACCAUACAUAAUAAUUUAUUAUAUGUACAUACAAAUAAAAAAAAAUAGUACAGAUAAAUUUAAUAUUAUAUAAAUUUAAAAUUUAUAGAAAAUUUCUCUUACAAAAUCUCCAAUCCCAGUGCAUAGCACGGGGUCCACAACUAUAGUGAACCCUUUAAAAAUAUUCUCUAACAUUUCAAUAAAAUUAAAAUCAAAACAACAACAAACAUAAUAAUUUAUUAUAUAUAUAUUUAUAUAAAUAAAAAAAAAUUAGUACAAAUAAAUUUAAUAUUAUAUAAAUUUAAAAUUUAUAGGAAAUUUCUCUCGCAAAAUCUCCGAUCCCGGUGCGUAGCACGGGGUCCACAACUAGUCUAUAUAUCUAUAUAAUAGUUAGACCCAUGCGGUCCCACAUUCUCUUUCCUAUGUGGGUGUCUAGCUAAGAGGAAAGCUCUCUCGAUUUUUCUCAGCUUUUUUUAAUUUUGCAAAAUAAAAAACAGAUUUUUUUGAUUGGUUAUUAGAAUUUACGUGGCACAAACUCUUGCCAAAAAAUCCCAAACUCUUCCUCUCUGACUCUUUCCAUAACUCUUUCAACUGCAUUCAAACUUUGGAACCUCUCUCCACUUAUCCAUGAAGAUUAGGAAAUUUUUGUUACUACGUGGGUUUCUUUUCCAUUUGUAUCAACUUCCAUAUCUUCUUUCUCCUCUGACCCUACUUUUCACCCACAUCAAACACUAGAUCAGCAAAGCAAAUAUCACACUCGCAAUAAGUUCUUCCCAUAUUAGUUUUGUUACUUUGUAAGUAUUCAAGAUUAUGUUCUGUAAGUGUUAGUUUUAUUCAAUUUGUAACUACUUAUUUAUUGGUUUUGUUAUCCCUCUCAAACACUCCCACGAGUGAGAGGUUGUGAGUUCAAUUCCCAUCAACAGUGUUUGGGGGAAUUUCUCAUGUAAUUCUUAGGUGGGUCAGCCUUCGGGCCUGGUUCGAGAUUAGGAGGCCCAUGCUCUUAUGAUGAUGAUAUGUGGUUAGGUGUUCUCCCAUGAUGAUGAUGUGGCUAGGUGUUCUUCAGCGAAAGCAAGUCCCUGAGUAGCAGAAUUGCUUGAGUUGCAAGGUGGCGGUGUGGACACUUAGGUAGUAGCAUCAGUAGCCUUCGGGCCUUGUCUUUGUAAGCCCUUUGGGCCCUGUCUUUGUAAGCCUUCGGGCCAUGAUUAAUAUACCAAAUUUUUUUUUUUUAAAAAAAAAAAAAAAAAAAAAAAAAAAAAACUACUUAUUUAUUAAACUGUUGGAUAUAAGGGUAUUAGCCAUGACGGGAUAAUCAUUGUUUGCAGGAUUGUAUUUCAUUGCGUUUAAGAAAGGUAGCCUCACAUCAGCAAGAAAUUCCCAAGGAUUCGAGUAUUGAUUUGGAUGAUAUGUUAUCCGCUUAACAAGUUUUUUCUUCACUUUGUAAUCUGUGAAUGAUAUUUUUCUCUUUCUAAAUUGUGAACUUGCCUUAGAAACUUUGAAUUCUCUAGAGAUACUCUAUUCUACUUAUACUUACACGGUUUCAAUUGGCUUCUAAAUAUUUUUCCAUCUCAAUUCAAAAAAAAUUCCUAGGGUUUUAAGCUUUAUUGUCUCACAUGAAAGAGGCUAUUGUUGAGACACCAUCAAUACGCAAUGUAUGGUAUUGUUUUUGGUAUGGAUCUCAUCAAAUAAAAUCUUGGUAUUUGUUGAUGGAGGUUUGAGGAUUUUACAACCAGUAGUUAACAUGAGCUAUAUCCUAUAAAGUAUAUACAAUCCAUGGUAUUGGCACAAUGCCAAAUUGUGCAUAUAUGGUAUCCUCCAUUCACAACUCUCAUAAUCUGAUCAUGAAUAUGACUGUUACUACUUUUACAUUUAUUGAUCAUAUUAACUUAGAUUAGAUUGGUAACUUAAUGUCUUAAUAUUAAGCUUAAGUUGUUUAUUUGAUUUUUUUUCUUCAUCAUUCAUGAUGCUAUCAGAAGUUGCCCGGAGUUAAGGCAUUACUAUAGUUGGUGGAGCUGUGCCAGAACAUUGUAGUGGGAGGUUGUAUAAUACCAAUUGUGUAUUUGGAGCGAGUAGAUGGAAAAUUAAUUGCUAAAGCAUAGGAAGGUAAUUGAGUCGAAUGUCAAUGCCUCCCCAAAUGCUCUAUCACUCGGUGUUUUCAUGAUCAUCCCAUGAAAAGCUGAAGCACCUAGGUGCUUUAAAUUAAUCAGUGAUGUAAUAUGUUGGUUUCUUGCUACUUAUACGAGUCGUUUUGAUGAUUCACAGGUAUAUCUAUUUGACAUUAACAUGCUCGGAGAAUUCUUUUUGAUGGAAUCUGACGCCUACACUGCUGAUGAUAAACCUACAGUUGUUGAUAGAGGUAUUUACUUUUAACAUGUUUAUUUUGUGACUUGAGUGGUGGAAAAAGUAUUAUCGCGUGUGACUUCUAAUUUAAUAGAGGGUUUUAUUUUUUUGAUAAGCAAAAUUUUAAUUAGAAUGUAAUCAAAUUACAUCAACGCAUAAACAACACAAAUGAAAAAGUGUUUCACUUCUAAUAGAGUUGGCAUCGUUAACGUCUCAUUUUAUUAUAUCAAAUGUUGUAUGUUCCAGUGGGAUACAUGGAAAACAAACAGAAAGAUCUGAUCAAUAAGACAUUUAUUUCUCAGAUAUAUGCUGGACUUCAUUCUUCAAUAAGAUACAUAAACCUGAAACAGUGAUAACAUUAGCCAAGUUGAAGAUGAAUUUGCAUUUUUUGUUUACUUUGCCAAUUCCAAUGAUAUUUUUAAGCCCGAAUAACAUGCAGUCAUAUGGUUAGUUUAUUGAUACAAAGAAAAUGGUGCUUUCAAAAUUUGAUACGUGAAAGUAUAUUACAGAUGUUAAUCGUAUAGGUAUAGGAAUAUGUCACGAUAUACGCCUCCCAGAAUUUUCAAUGAUGUAUGCAUCAAGAGGUUUCACACUUCUCUCAUCUACAACAAUCACAUGUAGGUGUGAGUUAUUAGUAAAUGUAUAUUUUGUGUUUUUUAUACCAUAUUUGGAUUCCAGGUGUUCAUCUAAUUUCUUUUGUGUACUGGUAUCUGUUUUUUGCGUUUACUUGGUUAACUUAUUGUAGCAGAAUUACAAUGUUACCAUCAGAAACUCGACAUUUAGAUUUUAGAUGUUAAUACAAUUAUCAUAAUUGUCUUGGUUAGCAUCAAAAUGCUUAAGUAUGAAGAAACACUAGAAAAUAUCUCAGAUUAAAGGUUUGUAUUUGAACCAUUUCUUGAACUGCACUACAAACUGAGUUACUGUUAUGGCACACUAGGAAAUAUCUCAGGAUAAAGGGCCCUACUAUAUAAUGCAAAACUACAUUGUUCAACAUCACUUUGUUACUCUUUACAGCUUGGAUGUUAUUUUCAGGGGGACUGUCAUCUGCCCAUCUUCUAACACAAGAUAGAUUAAUCCAAAGAAAGAUUCUCCAUCAUUGAGAAUGUAUCUUUUGUAGAGGAGCAAGGGAGAACUCAAAGCAUUUAUUCUACACGUACGUGCAACUAUACAAUCCAGAUAUGGAAAGAGAUCAAGAGUUGAUUUAGUUUACAAAUGUGGCACCUGAUGUUAAUAUUGAAUGAAGGAGAGUAUUCAGAAGUUACAGUUCUAAUAAUGAUAUAACAGAAAUUCAGAAAGCUUCUAUUUGUGCAACUAUCUACCAUGUGUGGAACUGUGAAAGGAGAGAAACGCCAGAAACUUCAACAACUCAAGGGCACCAAUAAAGGAGGAGAUGAAACUCUACUUGCAGACCAGGCUGUCAGAAGUGAAAGGCAUUGUACAAAUGCGUGUACUUUUACAUAGGCUUGAUAUUGAUACCAAAAUAAUAAAGGAGGAGGUCAAACAAUGCAUAUGGAAGAAACCUUCAAAGGAUAUGUAAAACUGAAUUGUUACGGCUCUGUUGCAGAAAAUAGAUGGGGAUAUGGUGAUAAUAUUUUGAUGCAAGAAAUGACCACCAUUGAUAAAAGAAUGGAUGUAUGCAAAUAAAAAAACUAGAGGUUGAUGGGGUUGUGAAAGAUGUUUCACAGACCAAGUAUAUAAAAAGUAACCUUAUAUACUACUAAUUCUAAGAGUUGGCAGCUCCUUUGCUUCUAAGGCGUGAGCAGGUGUUCCAAUUGCAAACCAAUUGCUGGAAAUAGUGCUCUCGAUACAUGGUGUUGCCUCCAAUCCAAUGCUAGACAAAAACCUUGACUGGCCAUGACGCAUCUAAGAGCUAUCAAUGUAAUAAAAGGUUUGGAAGGACCACCAUGGUACUUUAUGAAUAUAAUCAAGGCUAUAUUAGACUGAGAACAGCUAAGUUUGAAGAUAUGAGUUUUGCACAUGUUUAUAGAGAAACAAACAAGGCAGCAGAGUAGCAGACAGGUUGAACAUAUUAUAUAUGUUUUAUACUACAUGAGGAUAAAAUUGGGACAAUGUAUGCAAGGGAACGAUUGAUUAUCGAUUAUAUGAAUACAAGUUAGGGUCCGCCAAACCCUUUAAUAGCUAUGAUACAGUAUAUAGAUCUGACAUUAUGCAAAUCAAUUCUUAGUAUCAAAUAAUAUUAGUAACUCUCUCCUGGCUUGGGGAGUGCAAUUUUGUGGACAUACACAAAAAGUGUGUCCACGGGACAUCAUUGUUUUAUUGGUCCAUGUAGACUUUUAAUUAUCAGAAAACCGAAUUUAAGAAAAAAAAAAAACAUGAAAAAGAAAAUAAGUAUGAGGUGGACCAAUAAUAUAACGCUGUCUUGUGGACAGAAAAAACUGUAUGUCCACAAAAUUGCUCUGUGGCUUGGGGUCUACAACAGGGUACCAUGGUUCAUUUGCAUAAACCAGAUCAUCCACAAGAACUUCAAAAGCUCACAGUCCCUAUGACCUAUCUCUUGGAUGGAGUUUAUCUACUAUUUUGUAUGCUGAUAGUAUAGCUUUAUCUGUGUCCGCGCACAUGUACGUAACUUAGUUUGGGUAUAUUUUAAUAAAAAAAAACUCCCUCUUGGCUUGGUGUUCAAUGUAAAAGCUUAUUUAGAACACAUUAAUUUUUUUCAAAUCUGGGUAUACUCUUCUUAAUAAGAGACUUAUGGAUUCAAAAGUAAUUCAUUACAUAAUUUCAAAUUUUUCAUUUUAAAUACUAUUGAUAUUGAUAAAUACACUAUUGCAUUUAGUAGUUGUAACAAGCAAAAAUCUCCUACCCCGGUGCGUAGCACGGGUCCACAACUAGUAUAUCUAUAUAAUAGCUAGACCCAAUGGGUCCCACACUCUUUUUCUUAUGUGGCACUCUAUAUGAUCAUCAAGCUCUCACAAAUUUUCUCCCAUAAAACAAAUAAAAAAGAAAAAAAACAAUUUAUACUAAUUAGUUUCAUAACUAAAUUUUGUAUUUCUCUAUAUUUUUCCCCAUUUUCCACUAAACCCAAAAAAUCUCUAUCCACUUUCUCUACUCUCCUAAUAAAUUAUAAACACAAAUAUUUCAACAAAAAUAAAAUCAAAACAACAAAUAUACUUAAAACGUAAAUUAAUCAAAUAUAACCAAAUAUAAUAAUUUAUUAUAUGUAUAUAUAAGAAAAAAAAAUUAGUACAGAUAAAUUUAAUAUUAUAUAAAUUUAAAAUUUAUACGAGAUUUCUCUUGAAAAAUCUCCAAUCCCGGUGCGUAGCACAGGGUCCACAGCUAGUAUCUAUAUAAUAGCUAGACCCAAUGGAUCCCACACUCUCUCUCUUAUGUGGCACUCUAUAUGAUCAUCAAGCUCUCACAAAUUUUCUUCUAUAAAAUAAAUUAAAAAAAAUUAUAUUAAUUGGUUUUAUAACUAAAUUUUGUAUUUCUCUACACUUUUCCCUAUUUUUCACUAUAAACCAAAAAAAAUCUCUACCCACUUUCUCCUAAUAAAGUAUAAACACAAACAUUUCAAUCAAAAUAAAAUAAAAACAACAAAUAUACUCAAAACACAAAUUAAUAUUCAAAUAUAACCAAACAUAAUAAUUUAUUAUAUGUACAUAUAAAUAAAAAAAAUUAAUACAGAUAAAUUAAAAAUUAUAUAAGUUUAAAAUUUAUAGAAAAUUUCUCUUACAAAAUCUCUAAUCCCGGUGUGUAGCACGGGGUCCACCGCUAGUCUUCAUUGUAAGAACUUUGUAUCUAGAAUCAUCUGUAACUAUUAUAUAAGCACAUCACUCACAGAAGAUUAUAAUGAGUGAAUUCACCCAAAGCAUUGUAGCUUUCACACUUAUUACCAGCCUCGAAGCUUGUUUAGGAACUAUUUCAAGCAAAAUUUUCCUUUCUUUCUCAAGCGAUGGUGUUGGAGGUGGAUAUUCAGGAGCUGGCGAAAAUGGUUACCAAGGGGGUGGUGGGGAUCACUAGUAAUACAAUCAACAAAAGAAGAAAACAUCAAUUACUUGAAUGGCAGCUUCCAAGUUCUGAAAUAAACAAGUCACAACUACACUUUUCUGGUAAUAAUAUAAUGAAAGGAAGUAAAGCCACUAGUCAAGAAGGAUCAUCUCCAUUAUAUGUUAAAAUUAAGUAUAAAAAACAUCCUUCUGCCAGUUUAAUGAAUCCUACGUUCAAAGGCCUAUACAAGUAUAGAGGCCAGGCUGUGCUAAACUUAACUUAUAUAACUAAUCAAUAAAUAAACUGGUUUAUUCAAUGAUGUUACUAUCAUAAAUAAACGAACUGUGUAGGAUGAGAUAUUCUACCACAUAAAACACAUUUGAAACAGGAAAGUAUUAAACAUUAAAGGAGGACAUCGCAUCAGUUUACACACAGCAAAAGUAUCGCAACAGACUGUCAAGAUCGAGAUCCACUCCAAUCUUGCCACUGUCUUUAUGAUCCAUUUGCUCAACAAAAUGUCCAAAGCUUGAGCUGAAAUCAAGGCCAACAAUGUAUCUCGAGAAAGAACAUGGAUAACAGGGUGGGCAUACACUUAGUAACACGCCUCAGGGCUAUGAUGUACGUACAGUUAUAAAAUCAUAUCAAUUAAAAACCUCUUGAUUCUCAAUAACAAAGAAGAGGAAAACUCAAAGGAGGGACAGACGCACAUCUAAAACCCCAAGAAUGGUUAACAAACAAGUGCAACAGCAUCAGCAACAACAACAUUUCCAACAACAAAAACAAGUGAAACACACACUGAGAGGAGUUCAACAGUGUUUGCUGCACUUGUGUGGAAUUUCUGGUCAUAUUAUGGUUAGGCCACAACCAUUUUUAGGGGCACCAUGAGCUUUAGGUGUGGGGCUCCAAACCUGCCAGUUCCAACCACACCGCGCCUUGUGGUCAUUUACCCCCAGGGAUUUUUACCCAAGGCUCCCCACGUACCUCCAGAAAGUAUAGGGAAAACAACUUAACAGCUAAGUUGCGGUUCCUUAUUUCUCAAGUGAUCCCUUAUAUUACCCUUGAAUUGUAUCCCUGCUCCAAAUAUAGCAAUUCUAGUCAUUCUGUUUUUUUUUUUUUUUUUUUUUUUCCAUGUGAGAUGUGGCCACCUUUGAUUAUGCACUAUGAACAUGUGAAUUAAUUAACAUUCUCCAACAUUGCAUAUAGCAAUAAGUUCAGUUUUGCGGCGGAGAUUUGAAUCUCUCAAGGAUGAUUCUCUCAGCUCAGUAGAAACAAAUGCACCAAUUACCAAACUGCAGUCAUAGCUGCUGUAUAUGAAUUUGGUCACAGUGGAAUCAUAGAAAGUACAGGAGACCUGUACACCAUAUUCUAAUACAUUAUCGAUAUGUAAAUACAACAUUAUUGUUAGCACUUCCAAGGUGAAGGACUUAUACUACAAACAGACUAGAAAAUUGGAUCUAGAAGGUUUUGGUGUGCAAUGUUUCUAAAACAAUUGUCAACAAUGAGUCGAACCAAACCAGGAGGAGCCAGAUUGUUGGUGUCAUCAGAUACACACAUUAUAUAGUGAAUACCAUUUAUACCAGCCACUUCAUAACAGAUUGUACCAGUUCUUCAUUAGAGCACUAAGCAGAAAACGUAGGCCUACAAACUUGUUUUAUGUUGGGUUAACAAACCAUUUUUUUUGCAGGCAACCAAUAUCAUCAUAGUCACAGUAAUAUGUUUUGUGCAAGAUAUUGUAAUCCAAACCAAUUGCCUUCGGAAAAAAAAAAGCUCAACACAUGUAUAUGUAGGACAACCAAUAAGCUGAUAAACUAGCUCUGCAUACAGAGUUGCAAGUUUGAGGUAUUUUAGAAUCAUUAUAGUCUUCUAAAUUACUGGUGUAGUUAACCAACUUCCAAUAGUGUAUUUUGCAGACUACAAAGAAUCUACUAAUUUGUAUCAACAGUACUACCACAUUUGAUGGAUGCACAAGCAGUAGAUACUUAUAAAAUCAAUUUUCAUUAAUAUCUUGAAAAACUACAGUAUUACAUAUUGUUUGUACAAUGGAAAUACUAGAAUGAGUAGACCACUACUAUAUAUUUUAUUUUUAAGAUACAUCACUUAAACCUAUUAACGUAAGUUUGGUUAGGAACUGGAUACUUGCAGUAGCUAUACGUCUCCUUGUCAUGAGCUUCCUGUAGAUGGAACCACCCUGCUUCAUUUGCAACUCGGCUAUAUCUUCAACUUGCAGAUUUGUUUUAUUGUACAGUGAUUAGUUUCAUUACACUUUGGCUCCUUUGCAGCACAGGAGAUGAAUGCACCACUUCAGAUAUCACUUUGAACCGCCCUCUUUGUUGAACAACCUGCCCUUCAAGUUUCUUAGGAACAUCAGCACCAUUUGUUGCUGGCAAUUUUGCAGCCGCUGCACCUUCUUGAUCAUAUGGAACCAAUGCUCCAUUGUGACUCACCACGUCCAAUUCCUGUGAAAAGUGGCUCUCAGUGGAAGCCUGAGAUUGUGUUGGCUUUUUAGGUAGAGGAAUUUGGCUGCUUCCAAUAUCUUCUUUAGAAAAUGCUGCCUCUUCUAUCAAUGAAGCUUGUUCCUUAAUAUCGUCCAUGUCAAAUUUCCAAGCACUUAUUCCUCGUUUGUACUCUUUAUCAGACAUCUCCUCUUUCUUCCAAUCUGAAAGUUUCUUUUGUUGAAGAAGAUUAGCUUCCUUCACCUUUAGCGAAUCCAUUCGUUCUUCAAGAGUAGUAGGUAGCCCCUCCAAAAGUGUCUUCACAAUUGAUUCGUUGGACUGUCCAUUUUUAAAGAAAGAAUGUUUUAAGAGUUUUUUCGCUGAAGGUCGCUUGGAUGGAUCCUUUUCCAAGCACAUAGCAAUCAUCUGUCUGAAUGACUUUGAAAAUCUUUUGUCUUCUUUAUGAUCUAAACAAGGUGGAGGAUUCUGCAGAGUCAUAAGAAGUACCUUCUGUGGAGGAUACUUUGAGAAAGGUGCACUACCAUGAGCGAGCUCCAAUGCAGUAAUGCCAAAGGACCAGAUAUCGGCUUUGAAAUCAUAACCGGCUGAUGAAUCCAUGACCUCAGGUGCCAUCCAACAUGGUGUACCGGUAAAAGUAUGUCUGGCAUGUUGCCUGCUACCUCUAUCAAAAAGACAAGCAGAAAUACCCAAGUCUCCGAGUUGAAUGCCACCAUUGGUAUUGAGUAGAAUAUUUCCAGCCUUGACAUCCCGAUGUAUAAAACCUUGAUCAUGCAGAUAUACUAAACCCUUCAAAGCUUCGCGUAGAACAGUAGCAAUUACAACCUCACGUUGAAAACCAUUGGGGUGAGCAGCCUUGAGAAUAUGAAGACAAGAACCAACAUUCAUGUAUGGCAUGACAACCCAGAGAUUAUUGUCGCUGGCAAAUGAACAGUAUGCUUUCGAUACAUUAGGAUGAUCGACCAAAACCAUGGUAUGAACUUCACGUGCUAUACUCCCAGGAUCGUUGUGCUCAAAAUCAAGGAUUUUUAUAGCUACAAUCUCUUGGAAAGGGAUGCAUAGAGCUUUAUAGACAGAGGCAGUUGCUCCUCGCCCUACUUCUUCACGGAGUUGAUAAAACUCUGGACCUACAGGGUACUUCUUCAUAGAAGUAGAUGAUGAAGAAGAAGCAACAGAACUAGUUUUCAUAAAGUAGUUGCUACUGUUAAUAACAAAAACAAAAAACUAUAAUCGAAUCAAGGGUUUUGUUGUGAAGUAGCUAGCUAGAAGAAAGAAAAUUAUAACGGAGUUGGAUGAGUUAAGAUUGUUGUAAACCUAAAAAAGUUGUUGUAGUUUGCUAGCUUGAAGAAUAGUAUUGAAGUUGGAAAAAAAAAAGUUUGAAAACGAGAAGAAAUAAAAGAGCUGGGGAAUCAGCAAUUCGGUAGAAGAUAAGAGAAUCAAAGCAAGGUGGUCAUGAUCUUUAUAGUAUACAGCAAAGCUAGAGUAGUACUAAAAAGUUGGAUUAGAAAACAUAUAUAUAUAUAUGGUGGUGGACUGGUGGUGUUGUAAUCCAAAUUCAAAACUGUGUACGGAAUAUCAGGACAGGAUGGUUCCAUGUCACAACGUAUGAGAGUUGAGAGCUGAGACUGCUCCAACUUGAGCUACAAGCCCAGUCCAGUAAUAGCCUAAGAUUUGCAUGAUUCUACUGAUGAAUCCUAUGCUUUGGGAUCAUCCAUAAUUAAGAUUGCUGCAUAUCUGCAAUAUUGCAAGGAAUAUAGAACAUUCAUGUUUAGAAGGAUAGCAGUGAGUAAGCAGCUAAGCCCUAAUAAUUUUUGACAACAGAACACCUUUUUCAUUUUUGCUUCUAAAGAUUUUAAAUUUAUCACAGUAUGUUAAUACAAGAUCGGAGUGUACAUAUAUAGAAAAGAAAAAUAAUGGACAGUGAUUGUGUAUCAUGACGUGGAGGUGCUUAACUGGAUAUCACCCCUCUCAUCGCUGAACUAAUAUUGCUGAUAGACUUGAGCAAUAGUUCCCUGCAUGGUACAACAGCCCCAAGUUUGAUGCAAGCCAAGAAUGCACCUGAAAGCUUUCAAUGAAGACUGUAAACCUCAUCAGGUGGUGGUCUUAAUCUGUGCUUCAGCAUUGUUGCCCGAAUGUUGGAUAUACUUGGAGUGAUGUUCGUAGACCGGAAAUCAAAUCCACCUGGGUUUGAAAAUGGCAGACCUGCAAGAAAACCUGGCCUUGUGUUCAGUUCCUGCAAGUCUUCGACCUCAGCUCAGUAACAGUUUCCCCUCCAAGAGAUGCAUGUUUAUCAAAGUGCAUCCUGAACAGCUCAGUGAACCCUCUUGUCCUGUAUCCUUCAUUUCUCAAGUGAUCCCCUCUCUUACACUAGAACUGUUUCCCUGCUGCAAAUAUAUACUACAACUUUUUCUGUCUUCUCAAGUAUCAAUUUUAGUUGUUCUGUUUUUUUUUUUUUUUUCAUGUGAUGUGAUUAACACUCUCCAACAUUGCAUAUAGUGCUUAGGUUCACCGCAGACAUUUGAAUUCUCAAGGAUGAUUCUCUCAGCUCUGUAAAAACAAAUGCACCAAUACCAAACUGCAGUCACAGACUCACAGCUGCCGUAUGUGGUUUUGGUCAGAGGAUUAGAGGAAUCAUAGAAGUACAAGGGACCAGUAACCCAUAUUCAAAUACAUUGUCUGAUUGUCAAUGUGCACAUACAACACUAUUGUUAGGACUUCCAAGGUGAAGGACUUAUCCGACAAACAGACAAGAAAAAAGGUUUUGGUGUGCAAUGUUUCUUAACAAUCGUCAACAGUGAGUCAAAUGAAGCUUAGAUAACUUUUACUCAAACCAAACCAGCUGAAGAAGCCGGAUUGUUGUUGCCAUGAGAUAUUAAGGGUGAUGCUAUAAACACCUCCCGGUUUUCUAACAGCAGAUCCAAAAAAAAAACGGGUUUAUAUGACAUUAAACCGUAUAUGGUUUUUUAAAGGCAGACCCCAUAUUUUACUUGCACAUUCCGGUUUCUAUUUUUAAUUUUUUUUUUAAUUACGGCAGAAAUAUGCCAAUAUCUUUAAAAAUAUCGGUGGAACAUCGCCGAAAAUAUUCAUUAUAUUGGUGCGAAUCUACCGAAAGUUGUUAGGUUCACGGUAGCAAUUUGCCGUUAUUUAUUUAUUUUCUAUGUACAAUCUUACCGAAAUUUAAUCAAAUGACGGUAUCCUUUCGUCGUUAAAUAUUCAUUUUGUUGGUAGCAAAAUACACUAUUUUUUACUAGAAGUUUGUCAUUAUUCUUAAUCACUCAAUUUUAUAAUUAUAACCCCUUAAAUUAAAAAUCCCUACUUUCACCUAAAAUUGUAUGUAUUACAUUAAUCGACUAAUUAACCUUUGUAAACCACCAAAUUGGAACUUCAUAUUUUUAUGUAAGAUGAUAAAUAUUAUAUUGAACAUUUUGAACCGAUCAAUUUGAUAAUUAAACCCCUCUAAAUAGAAAAUCCCCAAUUUCACCUAAAAUUGGUAUGUAUUACAUUAAUCGACUAAUUAACUUUUGUAAACCCCCAUAUUGGAACUUCAGAUUUUUAUGUAAGAUGAUAAAUAUUAUAUUGAACAUUUUCAACCGAUCAAUUUGAUAAUUAAACCCCUCUAAAUAAAAAAUCCCCAAAAUCCCCAAUUUCACCUAAAAUUGUAUGUAUUAUAUUAAUCGACUAAUUAACCUUUGUAAACCCCCAAAUUGGAACUUCAUAUUUUUAUGUAAGAUGAUAAAUAUUAUAUUGAAUAUUUUGAACCGAUCAAUUUGAUAAUUAAACCUCUCUAAAUAGACAAUCCCCAAUUUCACCUAAAAUUGGUAUGUAUUACAUUAAUCGACUAAUUAACUUUUGUAACCCCCAAAUGGGAACUUCAGAUUUUUAUGUAAGAUGAUAAAUAUUAUAUUGAACAUUUUCAACCGAUCAAUUUGAUAAUUAAACCCCUCUAAAUAGAAAAUCCCCAAUUUCACCUAAAAUUGUAUGUAUUACAUUAAUCGACUAAUUAACCUUUGUAAACCCCCAAAUUGGAACUUCAUAUUUUUAUGUAAGAUGAUAAAUAUUAUAUUGAACAUUUUAAACCGAUCAAUUUGAUAAUUAAACCUCUCUAAUUUGAAAAUCCCCAAUUUCCCCUAAAAUUAUGUGUAUUACAUUAAUUGACUAAUUAACCUUUCCAAACCCCCAAAUUAGAACUUCAGAUUUUUAUGUAAGAUGAUAAAUAUUAUAUUGAACAUUUUGAAUCGAUCAAUUUGAUAAUUAAACCCAUCUAAAUAGGAAAUCCCCAAAAUCCCCAAUUUCACCUAAAAUUAUAUGUAUUAUAUUAAUCGACUAAUUAAACUUCGAAAACCCCCAAAUUGAAACUUUAUAAUUUCAUCUUUAGGAAACCCCCAAAUUGAAACUUUAAAAUUACAUUUUUAUUCACUCAAUUUUACAAUUAUAAACCUUCAAAUUAGAAAUCCCCAAUAUCACCUAAAGUUGUAUGUAUUACAUUAAUUGACUAAUUAACCUUCGAAAACCCCCAAAUUGGAACUUCAUAAUUUCACCUAAGAUAAUAUGUAUUAUAUUUAACAUUUUUAAUCACUCAAUUUUAUAUUUAUAACCCUUCAAAUUAGAAAUCCCCAAUUUCACCUAAGGUGAUUUAGGUUUUGGUCACCACUUUUUAGUAUAAAUUAGGUUUUGGAGCCGGUUUUUAUCUUUAUUAGGGUUUAGAGCUCAUUUUCGAACCAACAACUAAAAAAACCCGGUUGAACCGAAAAUAUUUUCAAAAUACCUAAGUUUACCCCUGAAACUCACGUGAUCUGCACGUGAUCACUAACCCUAAUAUAGUUUUGAUCAGGGGUAUUUUGGCCAUUAUAAACAAUUACUUGGGUCAAUUGUCGGUUCAGCUCUAAACCCUAAUAAAGAUAAAAACCGGCUCCAAAACCUAAUUUAUACUAAAAAGUGGUGACCAAAACCUAAAUCACCCACUAAUUAACCUUCGAAAACCCCCAAAUUGGAACUUCAUAAUUUCACCUAAGAUAAUAUGUGUUAUAUAGAACACUUUUAAUCACUUAAUUUUACAAUUCUAACCUUUCAAAUUAGAAAUCCCCAAUUUCACAUAAAGUUGUAUGUAUUACAUUAAUUGACUAAUUAACCUUCAAAAACCCCCAAAUUGGAACUUCAUAAUUUCACCUAAGAUAAUAUGUUUUAUAUAUAUUGAACACUUUAAUCACUCAAUUUUACAAUUAUAACCCUUGAAAUUAAAAAUCCUCAAUUUCACCUAAAGUUGUAUGUAUUACAUUAAUUGACUAAUUAACCUUCGAAAACCUCCAAAUUGGAACUUCAUAAUUUCACCUAAGAUAAUAUGUAUUAUAUUGAAUAUUUUUAAUCACUCAAUUUUAUAAUUUUAGAAAAUAAACAAGAACGACAAAAGACCACGGAAAGGUAAAUCAUAAUCGGUCGUGUAUUACCAAUAAAACGAAAAUAUAAUGGCAACAAUCCACCGAUGGUUUGUCUAGAAAAGAUAGGGUACUACCAAAGCAAUAUAUAAAAAUGACAGAUGACUACUGUAAUUUGUUUCAAUAUUCGGUAGAAUACCACCAAUAAAAAAUUUAUAUGACGACAUUCUCGUACCGAGAAAUAGUCCAGAAUCGGCAGUUGUUUACCGAUAUUGUUUUAAAUAUUGGCAUACUUCUUCCGUAAUGAAAAUUUUCUUUUUACUUCACAUACUUGCAAACUAAAAGUGGAGAUAUAUCAUAACAAAAAAUGUAACAAAUAACAUAUGUAUAUUUGUAGAAAUGAAAUUUAAGAUAAACAAAGAUGAGAUAAUUAAAAUUUAUAUUCAUUCAAGUUGUAUACAUCGCGUUGUCAGUUCAUAUACAAAACAGAAAUUGAUAUCAAUUAUAUUGAUCACAUUGACAAUUCACAAACAAAAUCCUCUAAAGCUAUGUCAAAUUCAAUCUACGAAAAUGGGGCCAUCCUCAAAUCCCUCGGUUUGUACCAAACUUGGUAUUCUAAGUUCUUGAAAUGCUUCUAUACGAGUAUCAAAUGCAGUUUGCCAUCCAUCUGCAAUUGGGAAAUGGAAGUUCGUCUAAUAAAGAACCGGUCUAGGAAUUGGGCAUUCUUGUUGUAUGUUAAGGCAAACAUAGUGGUUACCAUGAAUAUGACCGCAAGCAAGGACAUUCCUCACCUUAUCCGUAUUCAUCUCCGUCCUCAUUGGUAAGAAUGUAAAGCAUUGGUUAUUGGAGAGUUGAAUAAGCACUUCGUUAAAUCUAUUAGAAAAUAGAUAUCUAGUGGAUGGCAUAUCCAUCCAUUUAUCCCUUGGAGCCCAACCAUCUUUGUGUCGUAGUCUUUUCUUCAUUAAAUACAUGUACAUAUUGCGGAAGAUUUUCAUUCAACUCUUUAAGAAGCUCUUCUCUCAUCCACGGCCAUUCUUCUUUAUCUUUCCCUAUUGCCAUGCAUAAUGCCCUGAAUCCACAAUUUCCACCCGGUUCGGGAUUUUUCACUCCUAAGAUAAAUGGAUGCAUUUCUUUAAAAAAAACAUUCUUUGUAUUUACUAUAGGUUCUACGUUAUCAUUGCCAAAAAAAAUCUUUUUACACGCCUUGGACCGAGGGUUCUUUGGUUGCUUUGUCGGUGUUUUUUUGGUGACCGAUUUUUUAUCCAACUUUGAAGCGGAUUUUAUAUAAACUCAUCAUGAUCUCUUUCGGCAUAUUCAAAACCCGGCGGAUCUCUUUUGGAAGAAUUUGGCGUAGACAUUUUAUUUGUUUGGGAUCUUAUUUAUCGGGCUUACACCAAUGUAUGUAGUUGUAUUUUCGUAACUUUCUCAACAAUUAGUGUAUUUGACUUUUUCCCUCCAUUUCGGUCACUUUAACCUUUUGCCUUGCAUUAUAUAUUUGCUUGAAGUCUGUCACAUUGUGUGGAUUUUUAUUUCCAAUAGCACUCAAAACUUGCUUAGGAGGAACACCACUUUUACUUAGCUCAUACACAAACCCCAUUUCUUCUUUUGUGAGUUUGCCGGCAUAAGAAUGCCCAUCCAAAUUUCUUGCCAAUGCGUGGUUGUGCAAACCACAUAUUACGUAUAGAUAACUCGACAGACUGUCACCAAAUUUAUAACUACUAUCAAAGACAGUGCGCCGAAAAGAUUUAAUAAAGUCGGUGGACAUCUACUGAAAUAAUCUUAAAAAUAAGUACAAGACAAGACAAAUCAUUAAGUGAAAGCAAAAAAAAGAACAUAUUUAUAAUAUAGGAGCUAUUUAACUGAAUACAAUUUUGUUGCAACAUAACAUGAUCAUCGAAGAUUGCAAAAGUUCGUCAACAACUUGCUGAAGAGAUAAAAAUAACUCAGUUCAGUUUAGCCGAAAAAUUACAGUAUAUUCAGCAGAAUUCCACCGAAGUUGUAUUAUUUAUCGGCAGAACACAACCGAUAUAGUUAAAUAGUUUCGCCAAUAACAAGCCGAGUUUAAAAAUCUACUUUGUUUAACCACAUCUAUUUCUUUGAUGCUUCAAUUGAUAUAAUGUUAACAAAAUAAAUCAAAUCUUUAUUGAAAAACUUUAAUACUCUCGGUAUAUUUCUGCCGAAAUAAUAUGUAUAUUCGGCAGAAUUGUACUGAAUAUAUGUUUAUUAUCGGUAGAACCAGGUCGAAUUUCCUUUAAUAAAUUUGAGAGUAUAAUGUUGAGUUUUAAAGACCAUUUUUGUUCUAUUGUAGUUAUUUGAAUGCUAUUUCUCAAUAACAUUGAAAAUGGCUAAGCUUUUUACCUCAAAGUUGAAAAAAUUUGAGUAUUUUUGGAGACUUGGGAUUUGUUAGGUCUUCUUCUUCUUCAAUAUUUACUUCUUCUACAUAAUCCAUUUCUUCCCCAUCGCUCGUAUCUCUAGGAAUUGUUGAGUCUUCUUCUUCAAAAUGCAUUUCUUCUUCAAAAUCUAUUACUUUUUUAAAAUCUAUAUGUUCAUUAUCAUCCAUUUUUCUAAACAAUCGAUUUAGAGGGAAAUAAGAAAGAGUGUGCAAAGAAAAAGACAAAAAAAAAAUGAAGGGCAUACGAAGGUUACCAACAAGUAACAUUUAGAGAGGUGUAUUUUAAAAAACCGAGUUUUUUUGAAAAAACGGUUUUUUUAAAAUGGGGCCUGCUCUUAGAAAAUGGGGUCUGCCUGUAGAAUUUGCCGAUAUUAAACACAUUGAAGAGUCAAUAGCAUUUAUACCGGUCACUUCAAAACAGAUUAUACUAGUUCUCCAGUUAGAGAACCAAGGUAAAAACAUAGGUCUAAAAAGUUGUUUUUAGUUAGGUUAACAAGCCACUUGUUUUUAGUAAUCAAUAUUAACCCUGGAUGGUAUAUAGGCCUGUUAAAACGGCCCUUAGGCCCUUGGCCCGACCCUGUUCGGUCCGACCUUUUCGAUGAAAAAGCCCUCUAAGUCAAGCCCUUCCAAUUUUAAGGGCCGGGCCGACCCGGCCCUGAUGUAUAUAAGGGUAGGGCCAGGGCCAAUAUUUAAAAUGUGUAACCUGGCCCUAAGCACGACCCUUAUAUGACCCUUAUUAAGCCCUAAUUAAGCCCUUUCAUAUUUUAUAGUUAAAUUCAUUACUACUCUUAGUUCACACCCAAUUUUAAUGAAACCCUUAUUAAGAAUAUCCAAAUCUUGUGCUUCCAAAUGAUGAUGUACCCCAUUUUUUUUUAUUGUAAUUACAUAUAUGGAUAGGAUAAUGUAAUGUUGAUCUUGUUUAUGUAGAUGUGAUGGUAUUGUUUAUGUAAUAAUGGUAGACAUUUAUUUUGGGAAUGUACCUGUAGUCAUAGGUGAAAAAAUCGAAUUUGCCGACCGGAUAUUCACGAAAUAUUCCGGUUUUUGGCAGAUCGGAUCGGUACGGCAUACGGCAUAUAAACGGAUUUUAAAACACCCCAUGCCGUUCGGAAUUUAUCGGAUAUUCACGAAAUAUUCGGCAAAAACCGAUAUUUAUCAAAAUUUAUGAAAUUUUCGAUUAUAAAAUUAACACAUUUAUUUUUAAUCCCCCCGAACUAGAAUUUUCGAUGAGAUUAUCAAAAAAAGGUCCAAAAGGCACUAGACGUUUGGAAACUUUCGCGACGAACUUCAUGGCCCUCUCAAUUGAUAUAAUAUAAAGAAAGUUAAAUUUCAUCGUUCAUUUUCCCGCUCAAUUGAAAGUAACAAUACUCGAGAUUUCCUAUCUUUGAAUCAUUUGCUCCGUAUUGUAUGGAUCAAGAUGCAUAUGAUAUGCAUAUUGACCAAUUAAGGUCGUACGAGCAAACAAUGUCAUGGGAAUAUUACUGUACUGAGUUCGUCCCCACACGUAUGCGACUCGAAGCUCAUCGGUUUGACAUGGGGCGUCUAUCAUUCUGGGGUUAGCAUGUCUUUUAUUUUGAUUAUUAAAAUAAAACUAUGGGUUGAGUUGUAAUGAGGUUGUUUGUGUUUAGUUCUUGUAUUGUAAACAUAUAAAAGUUCUAUGAAUAUCCGCCCGAUAUUUACGAUUUUUUCACCUAUGAGUAAAACUAUCUUGUGUAAUAGUUCCGUCUUAGCUUCCUUGUAUGAUUUGUCGUGUGUUUAAUUUGUAAUGUAUGUUUUUCUUUUAAUUAUAAGUUUAUAUAUCGAAAUCAGAAGAAAAACACGAAAACCUCCCAAUUUUCCGAAUUUUUCGCGAAUAUUCGCGAAUAUCCGCGAAAAAUUCCGACACAUUCGAAUUUACCAAACCUCCCAUAUCCGACAUGGGAGGUCGGAUAUUCGCGGAAUAAUCCGGUUUUUGGCAGAUCGGAUAUCCGGACUUAAACGAUUUUUUCACCUAUGCCUGUAGUUAUCUACAGACAAUUUUUAAAAAUUUAAUAUAUUCUAAUUUUAGUUAAUUUUUUUUUUUAUUAAAAUUACAUUCUAAAUUCAUUUAUAUUUAGUAAAAUACACAGUUAAAAAUUGUCGGGCCUUAAGGCCCGACUAUAAGCCCGGCCCUCAACCCUUUAGAAAAGGGUAAGCGUAGGGUAAGGGCUUCAAUAUUUUGAUGUCAACCCGGCCCUAUCCCGGCCCUCGUGAAUAGUAAGGGUAGGGCUGACCCGACCCUUAAGACUAUAGGGCUUAAGUGUUGAAGGGUCGGGCUAGCCCUAGCCCGGCCCAUUUCACAGGCCUAAUGGUAUAGCCCAUUAUUAUGUAGACACAAUUCCCUUUUUGUGUUAUUUUUCGGUGGUAAUUUGAACGUGACUGUAAUGAACGCGAGUCACAGCUUCGAGGAUGCUUCUAUAUAAUGUAGAGUUAUAUAUAGAACACAAAAAGGAAGUUAUUACACGAAAACUUAGAAGAAAAAGAGCAUAUUGCAUAUAAUGAAUUGAAUGAACUAUACCUCAAUUAGUCAAUUGAUAUGGCUUUCUACAUCUAGAGGAAUGAAGAAACAAAAGAUCCUUGUUUGCUCAAACAGUAAAAUGUGGUUGAUCCCAUGUUUAAAAUGCAUGGAGCGGGGAUGUCAUAAAAUUCGAUCCUUUUUUCCCCUCGUUACUACUUUCCUGUACCGUAAGAAGGCAUAUUGUAUUAGCAAGUCACCGAGAAGAUGAACAAACAAAAAGAAGCUUCUGUUCCUUAGCCCCUACAAUUACAUUGUCUUUUCUCAUAAAAAGAAGCAAGCUUCUUGUUGGUAACUGUAACACCCCAACUCCGUAUAUCCCAGGCGACCGCUCUGGAACAUAAGAAAUUGUAGCGCCAUGCUACUUGACCAACUAGGCAAAAGCCCACCUGUUCAAAUAACACAUCAACAACAAAUAAUACCAUUGCAUAACUCUAAUCAGAGGGAACAACUGAAUUAAAAACCCCAAAACCUGGUAUUUGUAUUAAACAUCAAACUGAAUAUAUAAAGAUAAGUUUUCUUACAUAAUCGGGUCACAACAAUAUACAUCUGAGGUUUCAAAAGGUACAAACUCCUCUGACAACACUAGAAACAAAAAGAACUACAUACAACCCAAAAUCUCUACUGUGUGUACCCCAGGUAAAAAACCUGACAGGUGUCACCGAUUGCUGUAUAAGAAGCUAAACCGAAAGCACGUGAGCAUUAGCCAGCCAAGCCUGAUCUAUCGGUAGGGCCCAACCCUGUAAUAAGGGAUCCACAUACGCUCUGUGGACCUUGACCCACCGGAUAGUCCACGAUCAAUGGGUGGAGCACCAGUUACUGUAUAAGAAGUUGAACCGUGGGCUCCCAUACAUCGGCCAGGCCCACCUCAGUCAAGUAGGCCAGGUCUGGCCCAGUAAAGUCCAGCAGUGAUAAGGGCUCAUCCAAAGACUCAACACAGAAGCCUAGAGAACCUCGUCAGGAUGUAUGCAAUGAAGAUUGGGCCUCCAGUCAGAGGAGUCAAGUCCAAGUCUUUGCUUUCAGGCUUGGUCAAUCCAAGUUCCAACCAACUGGAUAGUCCAGCGAGAUUCCAGGCUAACAGAACCCAUGGUUCUAGCCCGCUAGAAAAUAUAGAGGAAACCCAGGUUGAACCAAGACCUAUCAGAGGAUGCCAUGUGGCGGUCGUCCUGGUCAAAGGGGAUUAUAACAAAGGGCAUAACCGCUCGGUAAGAUGCAAGCUAUCUCCACGGAAAACAUCUUCACAGUUGAACUACCUGAGUUCGUGGAGUCAAAACCGGAGGGGUGGUUGAGCCAGCCUCCUCCGGCCUACUACAAAUACAAGAGUUCUAAACCUCCUGAACUACGAGUCUUUCACUGAGCAACUCCAUUAGAGCUUAGUGGAAGCGGAGACUUGAUUCCAAGUUCAUCAUCUUGGAUACGUAGGCAGCCUGAUUCCGAUCAGGUCCAGUCUCAUUGUAUACGCCCCAUCUUAUCUCUGCCUAUACAAGGCUUUCAUUGUAACUGUACGAUCAAUCUAUACAUAUCUCGAGUCUAUGGAUCAAAUUUUUGCACCCACAUCUACACUUUCAACACACCUAAGAACGGCGCUCGCGACACUACUGAGAGUGAUCUCCUGAAAAAGAUGGUAAACAACAAGGGUGAGCUACAGCUCAGCAAAUGAAAUCCAACUCACUAAACUUAUCACAAAGAAUAGAAAUACAUUAGUUUAAACCAAAUGCACCUCAUACCAAUAAAUCAUAUGAAACACCAAUUUGACGAUAAACUAAUCGUUCCAAUUUAUUAACGUCUUAAAUUAUAUUUAUUUAGUUCAGGGAGUACGCAUGCAUGUACUCAUUACACUGCAGGUACACACAUGUAAAUAUCCCUCGCGGAUAGUUGGAGGUACAGUCUAUAUGGCCCCACGCAUGGUCACACUCCCAUCACCCGCAAGUGACUGGUACUGUCAUUGUAUAGACCCAUGUGCUUAACAGUACUUCCUCCCAAGCUUGUAUUAAGUGUGUGUGAACGCAUCCACCACACGACCGAAACCCCCAUUUCAUAAAUGUGUGUGACCUCAAUCAACACACGGCCGAAGCCCCAAAUCGCAUAAUAACACAUAACCACAGUUUUCAAAAUUUAAAGCACAUCCACUUUCAAGCUCACAAUAGAAUAGAAAGUAGUAUAAGCAUAAAUCUAACAUUAUAUAUACCCUGAAGAAUGUAUAUGUAUACACAACAUAGACAAACCAUGGUUUCUAUUAGAAUGUUUAAAUAUGAUUAAGAUAAAAAUUCAAAUCGAUAUAAUAUGAUGCACAAGAUAUAUUCAGAUGAGAUAUUCCAAUAUUCACAAAUAUACCAAGUCAACAACCUGGACAUGUUCACUUCAAUUAAACAAGCGAUAAAGUGCGAGACUCAUGAAACGGUCAAGUAAUCUGUACAAGUCAGUUUCUCAUUCCAAAAAUCAAUAUACUUGUUUAAAAACAGGGCAAAAUGAUAUCCUCAUAGACCACGACAAUAAACAUCAAAGUUUCACUAAUUAUAUACGCAUUUCAAUGUGAUAAUAGAUCAAGGAAUCAUGUUGGUUGUAUCUAUUAAGCGUAAAAGCAACUAACUUUUGCAUUCGAGUUCAAAUCAAUAUAAAUUUCAGCAUGAAUACAAAACAAAUUAGUACAAAGAACCAUACUUCUCCAAUUAUAAAUUCAGGGCAGCAGUAAAAUAAAUAAUAAAUUGAAUUCAGAACACCCGAUAUCGCAACUAAAACAAAAUCAAUUAAUACCCACAGAAACAAAAAAAAUUAAACAAAGGAUUCAAUUUAACCAACAUAAAUCUACCCCAAGUGGUAAGAAUAGGGAAUGGAAUGUCACUUGCCUCAACUGAUCUCAAAAACCCCUACUCGUUACUUAUCAGAUGAAUUAAUUUCUAAUAUUUUGCUAAGGCUUCCAAUAAAAAAUCUUCCAAAAUUUAAGUAUAUAAGUGUUACUCACUUUAAUCACAAACCCAAGUUUUAUACAACAAGUUCUAGCUUUUGCUACUCAACAUUCAAGAAAUGAAAAAUAAGUUAUAUUUGUAACUUAUGAAAAGAUCCAAAAGUCAAGCGGGUACCAAGUAUAAUAUGAAUCACUUCUCCAUCAUCUACUUAUAAGAAGAACAUACUGUAAUAUGAGGGUCAUCCAAUUUCCCCCCUUCCAAAUAGUCUUAUUUUCAGGUUUAUUAUAUUUCACGGGUUUAAAUUUUCACUAACUUGAAUUAAGGCUUAAAGUACCAAGUAUUGGGCUUAAAUUGAUGGUUUAUGAAUCAAAGUUAAUUAAAGCUUCAAGUCCACCUCCUCAAAGACCCUUAGAAGAAGAAGAAGUUCAAGUCCAAGAGAAAUAAGACUUUGAAGCCAAAACGUAAACCACAACUGUACAAAACUCAGAGGAGUAUUUCUGCUGAUCCAGAUUCCCAUCAGACAAAAGUACGUUGAUCCAUAUGCAAGACGGAACAAACCAAACAGUCAACUCACCACCUGGUUCAGGAUCUGGAAACUGGGCCCAAUGCCUUCAUAAAACCCAUGGAUCUUAGACCGACAUACUUCUGCCCAAUGGCCAACUUGAAAAGUUUAAACACAUCUGCAUGCAUGAUCUGUAUAAAUAUUAUAGUAAACUAGGAUUUUGAUAAUCUUUUGACAAGGGAAAAAACUUUCUACUUCUAUACAAUUUUCUCUAACAACAAUUGUAUUAGGUUUUUAAGGUUUAAGAGCAAUAAAGGUAUGUUCUUCUCAUUGAUGAUGAUUUGUUUUUUCAUCAAUAAAAGACUAAGUAGCUUCCACUAAUGAAACCAUGAUUUUUUACUUUAGUUUUGUGCAUCUUCUUAUUUAUUUGUUCUCAUGCAAGAUAUAAUAAUAAUAAUUUGUUUAUUGUUGUAUCGAGAGAGAAGUAAUUCAUAAAAGUUUAUCUUUUUUGUUCUUGUACGAUUACUUUACCUAUAUAUUUAAUUACUUACAAUACCCGAGAGGUGAGUAGAUAAUAAGGUUUCAAUAAAUAUUUGGAUCCAUUAGAAGAUGACAUACGUAUGCUUUCAUGGGUUGCACCGCAUGAUUGAUUUCUUAGUAGAAUGUUACUUUGGGCUUCACAUGCAAUUUAUGCCUCUCAAGUAAAAUACUUAAAUGCAAUAGCUGAGAGGUGAGUUAGGGAGCUACAAUAUCUGAUCAGGGGUGAGUAGCUAAAGAACCUACAUAUAAAUUAAGUUAUUAUUAUGGUGGAUUCAUGAAGUGAACAUGUCCCCUAUUUCCUUUAUUGAUCUUUAUUCCGUUUUAAUAAUCGUACUUAGAUUAUAAUUAGUUUAAUUAGUUUAUAUAUAUCUUCUAUACAAAUUAUUGUGACAUCUUCUUUGGUAGUAGUCUUCCUUCUUAUUUUUUUAGAGUGAAUUGAUACCCUUUCUUGUCGCUAUAUACUUGAUCUUUGGAAGGAUUAUUGUUAUAAUUAAGUUGAAUCAAUGACACUUCGCAAUAUCACUUGCUCAUGCCUAGAUCAACUCAUCCAUAUUCAUUUCCACCAUACUCAAUCAAUAUUCGCAGUGACUAAAAUGGGACAAUAUUGACAUUAAUUAUUCUAAUAAAAAAUAUCUCAUCUUAAAAUUAAUUAUUCUAAUAAAAAUAUUUAAAUUAAUAUUAAUUGAUAUCAAAUAAAAUAUCAAUAUAGGUAUUGGAAAUAUGGUUAGUUUUAUACUUUUAUGUUUUCUUAAACUGUGUGAUUGAUUUUCUAUAGAGUACAACUAAUUUGGGACAGAGGGAGAUAUAUGGGCAUGUUCGGUUGUAGGAAAAUAAGCCAGUUUUCCAAAAAAUUAUCAAGUUUGAAAACAAAAAUUUUAAAACGUAUUCAGUUAAACAUAUUUUUACGAAGUUAGAAAACAAUUUUCUAUUUUUUAUUAAAAAAAAAAAAUCUAAUAUACAACUUUAAUCAGAAAACACUGUUUUAGAGCUUUCUAUCGAGAAAACUAUCUCGAAAAAAAUAAAAAACCCACUCAAAAAAAGAAGAAAUCAUGGAGAGGGUUGAAGGUUCAUUAAUCUCUUCUUUUCCUUCAUUCUCCUCCUUACUUAUGAUGGGAUAUAUUAUCGAAUGUGAAAGUCUUUUCGUGGACAAGAUUCCUUGUAGGACAUCAUAUCUUUACUUAGUGGCAAGAAAUACAUUCUUAAAGUAUUAGUUUGAAAUUCCAUAAGAUGUUAUGAAGGUUUUCGCAUUAAGCCACACGUGUAGAAAUUUGUGUGAUACGUUGAAAAUGAUGAGGUUACUACAAGAUUGUGAAGAUGUUAGUGUAAAAGAAGGUUUGACAAUGGGGUUAGCAAUUUUGUGUCAUGGAGUAACACAUUGUAGCUGAGAGAUUUCAUCAUUUAUCUACUACAGUACAGUAUUGGCGUAAAGAGACAAUAAUAGCAUUAGAAACUUUAGACACUCAUUUGAUUAGGCCCAUGAAUAGAGAACCAGUGCAACCUAAAAUUUAGAGUAAUUUAAAAUGGUAUCCACACUUCAAGGUAUGAUAAACUGUAAUUUUAUUAUUAUAUAACUAGAAGUCAUUUACAUAGUAAUUAAUUUGUUUAUCUUGUCAUAGAAUUAUUAUGGAAUUGUAAGUUACUUAGCAUAGUGAUUAACUUGUAUAUCUUGUCAUAAAAUUGCAUUGGAGCAUUGGAUGGUACUCAUGUAGCAGCUUGGUCUCCGACAUCUAAACAUUCAACUUUUCGUGGUAAAAAGUUAUGACACAAAAUGUCAUGGUUGCUUGUUCCCAAAAUAUGAUGUUCACCUUUGUAUACAUUGGACGGGAAUGGACUGCUCAUGAUUCUCACGUCUUCCUUGAUGUAUUGACAAUGCCAGAAAAUAAUUUUCCAGUUCCUAAUAAAGGUAAAAGAAGUUCUAACAACGUGCGAUUAAUUAAUACGCUUAGUGUUUUUUUUUCCUUAUAUGAAUGGUAAUAUUAGACAUCAAUCAUUUGGGGCCAUACACAUGACAAUGAAAUCUGUUUUGUUGACACUUGAAAUAUAUUAUUUGGUAGAUGGUUGACAACUUAAUAAAUAAAGAUUAGCUAUUUGAAAACAGGUAGAAGCUACAAUGACAUAACCAUUUGAGUUUCUUAUGCCAUUAAACUGCCCCUAUUUGAGUCAAAAUUGUUGAUGUGUUUGCCCUCCUUCUAAUUUUGAAUAUCAUAAUAACAAACAUAUUUAAUUAGCUAGUAUUCCUCUUGUAAUACUUACUCGGUCUUAAGUCUUAUUAAUUAGCGGCAUCGCUUACACUUUAAUUAAUAUAUUCACCUGGUAAGAUAUUUUACUUUAGACACUGACUUGUAUGCUAAAUAAUAUUACACUCUGAAAGUCCGAGUUUGAAUUCAUAUGUUUUCGUUUUGACCUUCUAAUAAAAUUGCACUUUGAUUGGUAUGCAUCUAUGCUUAGUGGAAUUGGUACUUGGCAGACAAAUAUGCAUAUAUUCAUAUUGAUAUGAACUCUAACCCGAGACAAUCAAAAUUAUCUCUUCUGUCAUUGGAAAUUUAUUGAAAAGCGAUGGUAGCAUCUAAACCCACAACCAAAUAAAUUACUUUGAAUUACUUUACAUAGAAAGGGAUUAGUACUUCGAGUGAUAUUGACAUUAAUUUUUUUUUUUUUUUAAUUGUAGGUCUGUACUACGUGGUAGAUGUUGGCUAUCCAAACAUACUGGGAUUUUUAGCUCCCUAAGAGCAUCUCUAAUGCACAGUCUAAAUUUAGCAUGCCACAUAGGUGACACAUCAUCAUUUAUAACAUUUUCUAAAAUUUUGCAACAUUCUAAAUUUAGAACUUUCAUUGUAAGACUAAUGCACAUAAACUUUGCAACCUUCUAUUGAUGUAAAAAGAAUAAAACAAAUGGGGAAGAUAGAGACUAUUGAUGUACUUUCCAAAAAAUAGAAUAAAGAAAUCAUUUGUUAGAAUAAAGAAAUCAUUUGUUAGAGAUAGAAAGUUGUAUAAUUUGUUCCAAAAUGAACCAUGCUUAUAGCAGAUGUAUUUAUAACAUGACUUAUAGCAUAUGCAUUAGGGACACAAUUAUAGAAAAAACUAUUUUUAGACCGUGCAUUAGAGAUGCUCUAACGUGGCGAACAAUAUCACUUCCAUGAUAAUCCAAUACAAGACAAAUUAGAAGGAAGUCUACGUUAUUCAACCACCGUCACUCAACCUUGCGUAAUGUGAUUCAGACAUCUUUGGGUGCAUUGAAGGCAGAGUUUCUAAUCUUGAAAUCAAUACCUAAGUAUCUUUUAAGACGUCAAAAGUUAAUUCCAAUAGAAUGUUGUACUUUACACAAUUUUAUUAGAAUAGAAAAUAUUGUUAAUCAAUUAUUUACGAUGUACGGUAUAGAAGGAUUAGUAGUGGAAAAUGAAUUGGUCCCAACAGAACCAGCUGAAUGCAGUAAGAGAUACUAUUACAAACGAAAUGUGAAAUGACUACAAUCGCCGCCAUUAAUUUUUUAUAUAUUUAGUAUUUAGCUUAUUUUUUAACAUUGAAUAUGUAAAUAUAAAAUUUAUGUAUUGAUAUUUUAGAUCACGUAGAAUGUGGUUUAUUAUUGUAAAAAUUAUGUAUAACAAUGGUUCAUUAUUUUCUUAAGUUACUAUUUAGGUUAAAUUUCUAAGUUUGAAAGAAGCCAAUCUUGUUUAAAUAAAGAUCCACAAGCCCACAAUAUCAAAUCCAUACAAUUAAAAACAUAAGAAUAAUGAAUAAAAAUCUAAGAAAACUCUUUUCUGUUUUUUCCCACAAAUUUCCCACAGUUUUCUAUAGAAAACCAAAACUUUGGAGAUGGAAAAGUGAAAACUGUUUCGUUCUCUUCUCCUUUUCUUCUCAUCUUCCCCACUCUCUCUCUCUCUCUCCAUAAAUCGCAGAAGAUUCAAAAACCCUUUUUCUGUUUGGGUUUCUCUCUACCUCAUCUUUGCUCAAAUUUGCAAAAGGUACACUCUCUCUCUCUCUCUCUUGGUUGCUUGUCGAUUUGAUUUUUAUUUUAGUAACGAAAACGAUCACAUUUAAAUAAAGAUUUGAGUUUUAUCUCUGGAUUGAUUUGGUCAUUCAGACUUUUAAUUAGAAUUGAAGUAGAAUAAAAGGAAUUUGCAAUUAGAAAAUCACUUCUUUUGAGAAAACAAUUAGAAUUUGAACAACUCAAUCUUUGAAGUUAGAGUACUAUUUAAAGGCCAAAAGGCCAAAGUUUGUAAGAUAUGCACAAAAUUGGUAAUAUUAAAAUUCAGUUUCCAACUCUUUGUUGUUUGCAGGUUUCAACAAACCUUUCAGCUAUUAGUUCAAUCAUCAUCCUCACCUGUAGGUAUACUAUACUAUUUAUAAGGCUCCAAUGUCCUCUGGUAUGUGGGUAUAAGUUUUAUGUCGUCUUUCUUUCGCAUUGUCUUUCUUUCUGUUUGAACAACUAAAAUAUAAGUUCCUCUUUCUGUUGUCGUUGAGCAAAUAUGAAUCCAGAUAGAAUUAGCUAUUUGCCUGACCCAGUACAAAGUCACAUUGUUUCCUUCCUUCCAAUAAAAGAUGCAAUCAGAAUCAGCAUUCUUUCAAAGCAAUGGAAAAACAUAUGUUAUUCUCUUUCCCGUUUGGAAUUUGAUCAAUAUGAUUUCACUAACAAAAAAGACACGGCAGCUGAUUUUCGAGAUUUUGUGGAUGAUGUGGUCAUCCGUCAUGACGGCUCUGAUAUACAAAGGUUCAGUCUAAAAACUACACUUGAUGAUGUAUUUAUAUCUUCCUGUCGUGUUAGCAUCUGGAUUUCGUUUGCUAUACUACACAAUGUCCAAGAUGUUGAGAUGCGGAUGUACAAUGCCAAACUUAUAAAGCUUCCUUUUUGCUUCUUUACUUGCAGUACCUUAAGGAUAUUGACUUUGGCUUCUGUCAAUAUUGAAUGGCCUUCAAUUGUUAGAUUUCCUGUGCUCAAAUGUUUUUUUGUUGAACGUCUUAUUUUUGAAUAUGAAAACACAAUUGACAAACUCUUCUCAAAUUGUACUUGUCCUAUGCUUGAAGAUUUGGUAAUCCGACAGUGCCAUGCAAACGUUCACACUCUUUCAAUCUGUAAUCCUAGCCUUAAAUAUUUGCAUAUAUUUGAUGUUAGUUUUUUUAAUAUCAACAUAUCUGCCUCAACUCUUCGGAAGCUUGAUUGCAUAAGGUGUGAACCACCAAAUAUAUGUUCUGAGACCCUAUUGUCUCUCUGUUAUGCUUGCUUCAAGAUUUUCGAUAGUGGUUCAUAUAACCCUACCACUAUAUCUUCUCAAUUUAAUUGUGUGAGUAAGAUUUUGAUGGGGUUGCGCAACAUGGAGUCACUGGAGUUGAAUAGUAGCUUUAUUGAGGUAUGUUGUUUUUCUAAAAUUCUUUUCUUUAUAUCCUCAUAUGAAAAGUUCGCAUUACCUGGAAAAUACAAAAUGCUAACAUUUGAUAUAUGUUUUCAGUUUUUCUCCAGGGGUCAAGAUUUAGUACUGGGAUCUUUACCUUCUUCAUAUUGCAGUCUAAAAUAUUUGUGUCUUGGAAUGUUCCCAGCCAGUAUCCACGUCCAAGUGAUAAAAUUAUUAUUAAGAAGUUACCCUCAUCUGCAAACAUUGCAGAUUUGCGUUGACCGUGAGGUAUUUUUGGAACAAUUUUAACAAGUCUUGAAUUUCUUUUUUUACAAAAAUAACAACGAAAUGUUUAACUCUGAAGUUUUCACUGUUCAUGUAGAGUUACCUUUGGAACUUGGCAACUUUCAAGAAAAUAAUUGACGUGGAAGACUAUUGGAAGUUGAAAGAGUUGCCUGCUGGAGAUAAGUUGAACAGCCUGAGAGUAGUUGAGGUCAGAGAUUUUGGAGGAAGUGAGAGUGAGAUAGAACUUGUGAGAUAUCUACUGGAGAAUGCCAACCUGCUGAAGAAAAUGAAUAUCAGCUACAAAGAUAAUACCCAGCAAAGCAACGGUAGCCAGAUGAACAAAAGUGAGAUGCUGUUGACAUUUGCCAGUGUAGCUCCCAAUGUGAAAAUAUUACUUUCAUAAACUUUAGUUUGCUUGUUAAUAUUUGGCACAAUAAAGAGCACAUACCUUCUUUGUAAUUCAUUGUUCGUCAUUUCACUUGUUAUUUUGUGAUCAAUGUGCAUUAAUUUUGAUCACCUCUAUGCUCAGACUUUUUUUUUUUUUUUUUGUUGCAAAAAGGUAAAAGUUGUAAAAAGUAAAAUAAAAAUAUUUUACAGUGGUGAUAGCACAUAGUACUCAGACUACAUUAGGUCUUCACUCAUCACUUGAUCAAAUCUAUAAUAUUUACCAUAAGGUUUCAGUGAAUCCAAAUAUUGUCUUCUAUGUCAGAUGGACAACAAGAAUAUUGGUGAAUCCAAAUAUCUGGUUAGAUUGAUUUCACAUUGUGUUGGUAUAGCUGUGAAGAUGUGUCCAAGCUAGUUGAUUUGAUUUACAGGGACAGUGGAGCUUUGUCUCUGUUUGAUGGACGAUGAACAGAGGGCCAUAUUUGCUAGCCUUCACUUCAGUGUUUAAUUUUAUCAUGAAUUGUGAAGGGUACAAGACUGACCAUGAAAGUAAUAUUGUUGUGACUUAUUGAUAGAGAUCCCGUAUUACCUUUCUUAUUUUGAUUUUGAGUGCUAUCUUCAGUUUUAUGUUGGCUGGAAAUGGCCUAGUCGCACAUUGGAACAUUGUGUGUCUGCGUUUCAUCAGAUCAUAAAGGAUGAUGUCCACACUCCACAGCUUACUGCCAUUCUGCCAAGGUGUUGUCAAGAGAUUGGCAGUGCGGCCUGACAGAGAUGACACACUGCACUUGCUAGCCUGUAAUUAGGGAAAGCCAGGUUUUGGGUAUGUUACACUAAAAGGCCUAAAUUGGUUUGAACUUAUAAGUUAUAACAACACAUUCAAUGACUAAUUACAUGAAGAGUGUGCAUUGUUUGCACAAAUUAUUCAAGGAAAAAUCUUUGGAUAAAUAUUAGAUUUAUCUACUUUUGUUUUACAGGUUUUGUUUUUAGAGAAAGUGAUAUACAAAUUUGCUGGAUCGGCGAACAAAGGGAAAAAGAGACUAGAGAGAGAGCACAAUCAAAAAGGCAUACCUAUGUCUAUGUAGCAAAGAAACCUUCUUAAUCAAAAAAUAAAUAAAAUGAAAUAAAAAAUAAAUCCUGAUUUUUAAUGAUGGUUCUCUCUUCACAUUUCUGUUUAUCCUUUCGUCCAAAGGAAGAAAACUUAAGAGAAGGAUUUGAGAUUCUAAACAGUACGAAUAUAAUCAAUCUAUAGCUUCACUACAAUAACAAAUUGAAAGAGCAACAUUCCGGGCCUAUGAAACUGACAACGUUCAUUGGCCCUUCAGGUUAAUUUUACGGAAAAAAAAAAAACUUUAUCCAGUUACCAAUUUUGCUCACAGAAGAAAAUACUCUAGAAGUAAAUACUGGUAAAGACAUUUCACUCAAGUAAAUAUAGAUUUCGACAGCAAGAUAUUGACUAAAUCCAAAGUCUAAAUACUAAUCUACUUAUAUGACAGUCAGACAGCAAACAACCUUCCGACAGGCUAGAGAUAAAAGAAUAUAUGGUACUCGGAUAAAAUAUCACUACGACAAAAAGUGUAUUUUGCUUUUUGAAAACACAGUAUUAUUUCUGGACAUCUGAUUCUUAAGAAUAAGCGGACUACAAUUUGGCUGUCAAUUGCAUCCACAUAAUUCAUUUCAGAAACAGGUGACAUAAUCAAAAUAAAAGAAUUACUAGAAAAGGAAUAAAUAUUUUCAUUUACAAUCAUCAAGAAUGGACAAGAAUAAAUAACUAAAUUCAUUUUGUAGUGCAAGUAAUUGUCUGCAUCUGCAUCCAACAACAGUACAUAGCCUUGCAUGACAUCAUUCAUCUUAAUACAGGCCACUUGUCAUUCUAAACCAUGAAGUAAAACCGCCCAAUCAAAAUUCUCAAAUUGUUCAUCUUAAUAUAUUCAUCUUAAUACAGGCCACUUGUCAUUCUAAACCAUGAACUAAAACCUACAGCCCAGUCAAAAUUCUCAAAUUGUUUAUUACAUUGAUAUCACUAUAUUCAAAAUUAUAAAAAAAAAAGAAAAUAAAAAAAGAACCAAAGCUGCCACAAAGGAGAACAAAACAAUCGCCAACAAUGUACUGACACUAAGCACAUUUUAAGAUUCAAACCUUCGAUCACAGACUCACAGUGAUGAGCAGGGACAUACCUGGUGCUGGAAACAGCACGGGAAGUUUAAAAGGCAAAAGGUAGAAGGCAUGAUCAUCUAAUUUGGGAAGGGGAACAAAGCAAACCUGAUGCAUCUGAUCCAACCACCGCAAGAUCACAGACAGUACAGAGCUGCCCUUGCUGGGAAGGUACAAACCGGGAACCACAGUAUGGGCAUGCAACAUCCUUCUGCCCUUGGUAUAUCGGUACAUAUGUAGCCCCACAAACUACAAAAGGAUUUCUGAAGUCGUAGUUAAGUUGGUUCUCAUCUAUCAAAUUCUUCUCUGCACUCUGUAGGACUUGCCUAGCUGUCUUUGCUUGAGUUUCAUUGCUAGGGUUAGUCUCCAAGAAUCUCCGAGCAAAAUUAGCUGCUGUGUUAAAGUUCUUUUCCUUGUAACAUAUGCGCAUGGCGUUUAAUAGUGCUAGCCUCAAGUGAGGUGUCUGAAGGUUACAGUGGGUAAAGUAGGCAGCUAGCUCCUGCUGACGCACAAGAUCAUCUUUAAGUUCCUUUCUUUUGAUUUCCAUUUGUAACCCAACCACAUACUCCUUUGCGUUGAAAAUUAACUCUCUGACUUCAUCAACCUCUCUUCUCGACUCGACUACAAUCAAAGGAAUUGUGUGUAGUAUAUCUUUAAGGAUUCGUAGAGCCUCUGUGAACUUUCCACCAGUUGUGGCUCUGUAACCAACCUUAAGCUUCUCCUCCAAAUGUGAAUAGUUGAAUACAAGUGCUGGUGGGCCUCUUACAUUUGGGCUAGAAGUUUCACUCCACCCUCUCUCUACCGCCAAAAUGAUUAUUGGAGACGAAGAAAAAGCACGCAGAUAAGAAUGACUUCCAGCAUGCAGAUCAAGAAACAUGGGCUUCAAAGGAGUAAAGUUCUGUAUACCCAGCUGCCGGCUCAGCAAGCGCAUUGCAGUGUCAAAAUUGCCAGCUGCUGCAUGCUCCCCAGCAAGAGAUGAUUUCUGAAUCCAUAUCUGGCUUACAGGCAUACCUGGAGUUGGAGUGACAAACACAGCAGACCGAGCAUUAGCAGAAACCUUUGGAGUAUCAACUUCAGGAGGUAGCUCAAGAUCCUCAAGGUCCCAUCCCCCUUCCUCGUCAUUUUCAUCAUUCGCUUCCCCAUCUUCCACUGCCCCAACAUCUCCAUUUUGCGCGCCUUCACCAUCAACAAUAUCUAAUUCUUCGCCCCAGUCAGCAUCAGCAGCCUCUUCAUCUUCCUCCUGUACUCCCCUGCCGAUAUUCUCCAGUCCACCCUCAAAAAUGCCUUUCAUAACCCUGAGCAAGGGCCAGUCUCCACCGCAUAGGAUGGGGGUGGGGGGCAUCAAAAGUGAAGGGACUUUUCCGUGUGGCAAAGAAGGAACAUUGUCUCCCAAUUUAGCUGCUAAUUGUUCAGCAACAUCAUUGAGCCCAUGAACUGUAGCUGUCAUAUAAGCAAGUGGAAGAUGGCCAACAUUCUCCAGAAUUUUAAUGCGCUCGUGUACGUCACCCAGAUACAGGGCAUUGUGGAACUGAGCCAUUACAUCAUUCUUGAGCUCUGCAAUUUUCAGCAUUUUCGACAGCUUGUUGGUAUUCCCUGUCACAAGAUAAAGGAAGGAAAGCCUAUCAAAAUUUUUUGUUCUUUGGUAAGCAUAUUCAACAAUGCCAGCAUUGCCUUGACGAAGGGCUUCCACUCCCAACCUAUACCAGUGAUCCUUUUCAUCAAUUGCAUUCGCUGAAGCAACAGCAAUCUGGAUGUUACCACUCUCUAGUGCCAAGUUAAACCGAGUCCUCUCAUCUUUCACAAAAUGGAGAGCAACUUCUGGGAAACCCUUCUGCUGCAAAUAGGCAAUCAUGGCUUGUCCACAGAGCUGCGAAUUCCUGAUGAUGCUCAUGACUUGGUCAUAUUUCUUCUUUAGAAGAGAGAGUUUAAAUACAUAUUCUGUUGCAUCAAUAAUAACUGCCCUGUUCUUCCCAUCCCGAUCCAAGCAAAAUAUGGUAUUUCCAGAAAUUUUCGUGAUGUAUAUUGGGACAUCAAGGGUCUUGAUGAUUCCACUGUCUCCAUUUGGAAGGCAAUACUUGAUGUGGUUCAGGGUUGUAUAUAUGAAGACGCCAUUGUCAUCCCAGGCUCCGCUCUUUACACGGAUCGUUUCAUGAAGAGUGCAUCGAUGGACAAGUUUCUUACUAGCGAUAACAAUUGAGUGUUUGCUCAGUAAUGCAAUACUCUCCAUGUCAUUUGACCAAACAACAUACUUAAUAAAUGGAGUUUGAAGAUCACCAAGAACAAGCCUCUGCUGGAGAUCAAAAAUGACCACUCUAUCCUCCGCUCUGCACAACAAAUUGCCUGUUCCAGCAUAAAAUAUUGCCUCGGCAACAAUAGGUAGAAUGCUCUUCUUUACUAUCUCGUUUUUAAGGUUCUUGACUAACACUUGAUUGUUACUCUUGUCAAGCACAGCAAACCUAUUACGAGCCACAAAUACAGCUGAUCCUCCAACUCCUCUUUUUGCAUCUUGAAUGCUAUCACCUCUAGAAACGCUAUCUUUCGGUAUGGUAUAAAGCUCAUAGGAACCUCCAUCAAUGUCAGAGCAUACCAAGACAGCGUUUUCCGUUGGACUAUAGGACAAAGUUCUUGGACUUUGAUUCAAAUUUGUGGUACCAGGUCUUCGAAUUGGAAUCACUUGACUAUCUUUCUGUGUAGAAAACUCAUAGAAGCGCAGAAAACGGUCUUUAACGUAAUAAAGACAGUCUCCACUUACAGAAAAUGCAGGUCGUUCUCUCUCCAAUUUAAAAACGAUCAUGCCACUAUCAUGGCCUGCCGCCAAAAGGUUCAUUUCAGGAUGUGACGCCAGAAUCCAGAACCGGUCAUGCUCCC